CGGCGACGCUAUUUAGCCGGGCGCGGCCGCUCCGGCACCUUCACCCAUCAGCAGCAGCUACCGACUGGUCCAGCACACUCUCUCGCCUCACGCAAUGGCUGCCUCCACCAUGGCGAUCUCCUCCACCAUGGCCGGCACCCCCAUCAAGGUGGGCUCCUUCGGCGAGGGCCGCAUCACCAUGCGCAAGACCGCGGCCAAGCCCAAGGUGGCGGCGUCCGGCAGCCCGUGGUACGGCCCCGACCGCGUCAAGUACCUCGGCCCCUUCUCCGGCGAGCCCCCGAGCUACCUGACUGGCGAGUUCCCCGGCGACUACGGCUGGGACACCGCUGGGCUGUCCGCUGACCCCGAGACCUUCGCCAAGAACCGCGAGUUGGAGGUCAUCCACUCCCGCUGGGCCAUGCUCGGCGCGCUCGGCUGCGUCUUCCCCGAGCUGCUCGCCCGCAACGGCGUCAAGUUCGGCGAGGCCGUCUGGUUCAAGGCCGGCUCCCAGAUCUUCAGCGAGGGCGGCCUCGACUACCUCGGCAACCCCAGCCUUAUCCAUGCGCAGAGCAUCCUCGCCAUCUGGGCCUGCCAGGUCGUGCUCAUGGGCGCCGUCGAGGGCUACCGCAUUGCCGGCGGCCCACUCGGCGAGGUCGUCGACCCGCUCUACCCCGGCGGCAGCUUCGACCCCCUCGGCCUGGCCGACGACCCUGAGGCCUUCGCCGAGCUCAAGGUCAAGGAGCUCAAGAACGGCCGCCUCGCCAUGUUCUCCAUGUUCGGAUUCUUCGUCCAGGCCAUCGUCACCGGCAAGGGCCCGCUCGAGAACCUGGCCGACCACCUCGCCGACCCAGUCAACAACAACGCCUGGGCCUACGCCACCAACUUCGUCCCCGGCAACUAAGCUCGCCAUUCGCCUCUGCAACUCCAUUGUCUUCCGGCCGGGAGGGGCGUACGUGGAUUGGUUGAUGCUGCAAGCGAGCUGCCGCAUGCGUGUCUUGUUUCACGUUGCAUUUCAGGGGCAAGUCGAGAUGAUGAGUCGGCGUUGUACACUAAGAUGAUGUUUGUGCAAUAGUAGUGGUUUUGUUCCCUGGUGGUUAACCUUUGAUUUGUCUGAUUAAGGACAUCUAAUUAAGAGGACUAAACAUGAGCUAAUUAUAAAACUAACUAUACAUAUGGAGGCUAAUUCGCGAGACGAAUCUAUUAAAUCUAACUAUAUUCGUCUCGCGAAUUAACCUCUGUAAUUAAUUUUUAAUUAAUCUAUAUUUAGUACUUGACGACCGCGGAACCAAACGGGAGAUUAAACGUAUAAAUAUAUAUAUAUCGCAGACCUCGGCAUGUUUCAUCCUGUGAUACAUGCCACGUGUCCACUAGACAGUGCUGGUGCCGGAAGAAAAAAAGAGGAUCGACGGUGACUGCACUUUUACCGUAUCAGCUUACCGUGUUCUUUUUUUACCGUCCAUGGGCCGUUGUACUCUGGUUUCCUUGAGCCGUUUCGUACGUUAGGCUUCGGCCUACGUGUGCGUCGUCAGUGUGUGUCCAGUGUUGUGGCCUACUGUUUUGCCGCUUAGUUGCCUUCAAACGCUAUAUGUAAAUUAACAGUUGGUGUAUAUCUAAUCUGGACAAUUGUUGAGCUUGUUAUCUACAUAUUUUAGUAUGUUCUUGUAUUAACCCGUCUCUUGACACUUGAAAUAAUUCCGUUUUUCAUAUGUAUUGUAUUUUGGAGAACCUUCUAUUUUUUCAGGAAAUUGGACUAUAUCGAGGCAUAAUUGGACAAGGUUCUGGACAAGCAACAACAUAGAGAAAGACGAAGGCCAACGGGUCCAAAAAGGACCUAGGCCAGGCUGAUCGGCCUAGGGUCCUCAGGGCCCCGAUCAUGCUCGUUCUUGGCGAGCACUCCUAGGCCGAUCGGCCUGAGGUGUUCCUUCACCCGAUUACCUUCCAAUUUCUGCCACGAGCUCUUCAAACUAUGAAUACCCCAAAAAUUCAGAGAGCCCCGGCAUUCAUCCGCCAGAACUCGACGAAACCAAAGGCAUACACCAAAGGGAGCUGAGGCCCACUGCAAGUCUUCAGAGUUGUCUUGGAGAUGGCUUAGGCCGACCCUAGCCGCCAUGGCCUCCCUGCACGAUUGUGCCAUGGUGGAGUUCAGGAGAGCCAGUAGUAGAUCGUCGAUGGUAUGUACUCAGAGGUGAUGAUCUAAAUACAUCUAUUAUAUGAGCAACGUUCUUCAUAUCAUCUGAUCUAUUAGCGACUUGUUGUCUCCUUCUAUGCUUUCUACUUAUCAUGAAUAUGCUUGUCCCUUAGUCUAAUGCUAGUUUAGACUACAUAGCAUGCUUUAUGUAAUCUUGGUGAUUAGAUCUAGUAUGUCGAUCCUUCAUGAUAGCUAGACAUGUUCACCUGUGUUCGUACCCUUAAAUUGCCUGCGCCGAUAGGGGGAUCGUGACGGGGUCUGCUUCCGUGUAGGGUGGGGGUUUUCGGGAUGUUGACCGGAGGUAGUAGUAGUUUAAAGAUUGCUUUGGAUGAGAUACAUGAUGUGCUUGCUCGUUGGCUAGAACUACAACUAGAAGAUGAUAGGCUCUUUCUACCCUUGGUGGUGUUAUAUCAUAUAUAUCUGUGGAUGUGAUCUACACUUAUUCAUGCCAUUGAUCUUUACAACAAAUUUGCCUUCAUAUGCAAUCAAUGCUUCAUGUUAGGACUAAUCCGUUAGAUUAGAUGGAAAUCCAGAGUCAGUUUGCUGCCGAUCCACGGAUUGAUAAAUCUUGGAUAUAAUACUUUAAGAGAAAAGCUAUGAUGAUCCGUUCGUUUAUGGUUCACGACUUAACGUGUUAACUACCGUCAACAACAAUGUAUGUUUGUAUGGAUACACCCGGUACCAUUUUUUACAUGUCAAACAUAUUAUGCAGUUGCAAAACAAAUGGUUUAUUGUGGCUCCUGUUCAACUUCCGUGGCUCGAUAGAGAAACACUUAUUCAUAUCGGCUCAUCUGUGCCCGACAUAAAUGAGCCGGCAUGGAUAAGUCAUCCAUAUCAGGUUGAAAAUGAGCCAGCGCAAACAUUCAAUUAUCCCUGGCUCUAUUAUUCAUGCUGCUGUAAUUUUGAGCUGGCACGAAUAAUCCAUUUUUCAUGCUAGCUCGAAAUUGCAUCGGCACAAAAAAAAACUCCUAUCUAUGGAAUUCGAAUUUUAGCUUAUAUUCAAAUAAUUCGUAACUUGUGCGUUCAAACUCGGAUGGAGACAAAUUUUAUAUCAAAAUUGUACAGUUUCACCAGAUCUACAACUUAGUUAAAUAGUUUUUUAUUUGAAGUCAUUUAGAUGCUCAAAUUGUUGAUCACAAUACUAGACAACAAGGGUAAAAAAGAAUAAAACUUCCCUUUGUGUGCAUAUAUGUGGUAUAUGUGUGAUGGUAAUGAGGUAUCGUGCGAGGGGGGAGGUUGUGAAUUCGAAGGCUAGACACCUCACACAUGUGACUUCUGACUAUAGAGUGGCCUCCAUGCCUAGAAAAAAAAUAUUUUGCUAUAAGUUUUCAUUUUUACUAAUUGUGUUGGCGCAAUUUUUCACCAGUAGGUACAAUCCGUUAUUCGUGCCGGCGGAAUUGUCCACGGUACGAAUAAUUCGUUAUUCGUGCCAGUUGGCACGAAAGCUGUUCAUGUUCGCAUCGGCUUCGUGGUGCCGGUUUGUUUAAUUGCAUGAAUGAGGUUUUCGUGCCAGAUGAGAUGAGGUGCUCUGCAGUAGUGGAGGGCCACAAAUUUACAUGUUACAUGUAUAGUUCCAUUCGUGUGACGUAGUGAACUAAUGAUCGGGCCACACAUUUACCAUAGAGACUAGACUAUUCGUUCUGAGCCAUAAAAAAGUUCACAAUUCCUUAUGUGCCAUUAAAAAUGUUUUGUUGCCUUUCCAAUCAUCGUAUCAAAUUUUUGGAUACCUCAGUGCCACUGCCGUCCAUUACCGUCAGCUCUGUUGCCGUGAACCCCUAAUUACAUGUCAGUUCUUUUCACAAAUGGCCAUUUUGCACUUCCAUCGUUUCAUUUCAGUUCACCGGUCAUUAUUCAGUCAAUCAGUAUGCCGCUUCGUCGGAAGAAAAUUAGGUGCACACCGGAUGCAAAACGCAUCCGGUACAUACCCGUGUGCUCGGCCGACGCGUGGAGGGCGCCCCAAAUCCGACGGAAGCAAUCGUUGGGUCCAGCGGCUCGUCGCGGCGCGGCUCGGCUGCAUGGCUCGAUAACGCACGGCUGCAUGGCUCGGAAGGGAAGGAAUAGGCGGUGCCGUACGUUGAGGUCCUUCGGGUCUCCAGCUUCCGGCAGCCGGCCGUACGUUGCCUUCGGUGGAUACCUCCUGCACACAUACGAGUAGAGCACGACGACGAACAACGCCAUGAGUGUCAAGCACCACCCGAACUACACGUUGAUGACGGCCUUAGCGUGGUGCUCGCUUUCGUCGCUGUGGCAGCGGAUAGAGAGGCCGCCAUCCUUGAGUGAGUAGCCAUUGGCGAUGAGCCCCGGGAGCCACAUGACGCCGAUGUCCAUGAACCACACCCCCUGGAACGUGAGUGCCACCGACCGGAUCAGGCUCACCGUGAAGCUUUGCGGGAAGCUGGCGUCGAGGAGCGCGGUGGCGAGGCGGCGGCGACGACGGCCUGCAGGAACCAGUGGAACUGGCCCUUGACGCCGGCGUGGUCGGAGGAGUGGACGUGGAACAUGAAGAGCUCCUGCGCGUAGACGAGCGCCAUGAGGAGCGUGCAGAGCGUGCGGCGGCCCCGCAGCCACCAGGAGCGGUCGAGGUACGCGGCGGCACCGGUGUAGAGGACGAUCGCGGUGUAGAUGACGGUCCGCCGGCCAGAUGGAGAAGGUGGCGGCGGCCCAGAUGGAGGAGGCGGCGGCGGCAAGUGCGUCGCCAGGAGAUCACGAGGCGGCGGCUCGCGUUCCCCAAACCCUCACCCAACUAUUCCUUCCCUGCCGAGCCAUGCAGCCGUGCGUUGUCGAGCCAUGCAGCCGAGCCGCGACGAGCUGCUGGACCCAGCGAUUGCUUCCGUCGCAUUUGGGGCGCCCUCCACGCGUCGGCCGAGCGCAUGGGUAUGCACCGGAUGCGUUGUGCAUCCGGUGUGCACCUAAUUUUCUUCCCGCUUCGUCUUGCUUUGCUUGAUGCCCCUCUUACAGCUUUGGGCCCAUCUGCAAGGCUCCAAGCCAACAAAUGGCAUCACGUUGUCGCGCCUGGCCACCGAAUUGACCUCCAGUCCAGCGACCAGCAUCCACACCAACCGCGAGACGGCGCAUCCUACAGUGACAUGCGCGGAUAAGUUAGCGGACACGGCAAUCUCUGCUAUGUAGCAGAACGAGGCCAUGCUGCGGUCUUGCGGCGGGGACCGAGCACCGUGCACCGGUGUGGCGGUGCCAAGCCCGGCUCCUUGCCGCGACUGGCGUCGAGGUAGUCCUUAACGCAGCCGAGCGCGUCCUCCUGGAAAGCCUCGACCUUGAGCUGCUGCCCCUCAUCACACAGUCGCUGGCGCGGUCAGGUUAUGGAGGCAAAGGGCUACACAGCUCCACGCGCGCAGGGUGCCGACUACCGAGGGAGACCUGCUGCAGCCUGCAGGCAACAAGUAGUGCCGCCACCCCGCCGCGCGUGGGCAAGGCUGCCGCGGCGUCCCACGACGCGACCGUGAGCGGGAGCAGCGCCGGCAGCUCGGCACCGCCGGAUCCAGCACGCUGCAGUGCAGAGGUGGGGCACAACGACGGCGCUUGGCACCCUGUGUCCGAAGACACGAUGACGGCAAGCACGGAGACAACCUACUCGGGGGUGGGGGGGUGGGGGGGGGGGGGGGUGGGGGGGACGGGAGGAGUCGAGCCGCGCCGCCAGCAGGAACACGGCGCUGGCGAGGGUGGCCGACAGCUCAGCGAGCGAAGUUGGACGACCUGUGGCGCAAGAAGACCUGGAGGACGCCGCCGCGGCGGGCACCGCCUCCUGUAGGCGGAGGCACUCCGCGAGGCCGGCCGGGGUCCCCGGACUCCGGAGGCUCGAGCCCAAGAUGAAGAAGAGUUCAGACCGGAGCGAUGAGCAGCGUCAGCUAGACGAAAUCGAUGAAAUCGUCGUGCGAGACUGAGAGAGGAGUAGGGGAAUAGAAGGGCAAGAUGGACAUUUUGGCUCGCCGUGAGCUCCCGUUCCCACUGAACUGGACGGCAGUGGCACUGAGGUCUAAACAAAAUUGAACUGAUGUCACGAAGGGCGUGAGAACUUGGUGCGUAAAGAAUUGCCUCUUUACCAUAUACCUUCACCUGCUGCAUAGUGUAAUAUAAUGAACUAAUGAUCAUUUCAUUUGAUCUGCACUCUGCACUGUAGAAGCUGUUGUUUUUAGUCUAUUGUUAUUAAACCUAUAAGAGAGUCUUUCACUAUGCCAAUUUUCAAAUGUCCUAAUUAGAUAAUUGCAGAGACCGAACUACCGCCGUGCCACAUUUUCGCACUAUUCAUGCUAUUGCUGGCAAUCUUUUCAUUCAGUUCAAGCCUGCUAAAAAUGCAAACAUAUGAGUAGAGAGAGACUUGCUGCCCUUUUAAUGCAGUAUAGAGGGAAGUUUAGGCUAGAAAUUUAGAACAAAUACUUGACUACUAAUGUAGCACCAACAACAGGGAUACAAGCCUAUAGCGGGCGCGGCGGAGCGCGCCGCUCUUCCAUGAGAACAGGACAUCAGUAGUUGUACCAAAUUCUUAGCGUCUACCUAUUUGGCUAUUUGAGCACAGUUUAUCUCGUAUUCACCAAAUUGAUUUUGCGACUUUGCACACUCGCUCGCACACGCUGGCGCAGCAGCGAGCAAGCCAGCUAGCUAGUCGAGGCGGAAGAAACUGAGCCAUAGCAGCAGCAGCGGUGGACUCCUACGUAACUCGCGGAAGCUGGUUUAAGGCAUACAACUUUAAAGUCCGUUCGACCCAUCUAACAUAACCAUCACAGCCCAUCAAUCUUUCUCCAUAUAUAUUAUUCAACAUUUCCUUACACUAAUUCAACGAUCCGUAAGUCCUAUUUCAACAUUUCGAAUAUGCUAACUCAACAUUGCACGGAGAUUAGAUAUUUAUUUUUGACUUGCUCCCCCACCUCACAUAGAUUUUUCCACGUGUGAUACACGCUUCAACAUUUUCUUACAACUGAUCAACAAUUUGCAAACCCUGAUACAUCAUUUCGAAUAUACUAAUUCAACAUGUCACGGGUCAGAUAUUUAUUUAUAGUUGGCUUGAGGGAUGAGGUAUUUAUUUACGGUUGGAUUGCUCCGCCACCUUUUCUUAGCCAUACAUGUACUAUAACACGGAAACCAUGUAAAAAAAAUUGUGGAAGUUAUAUAUAGGUUUCCCGGCAGUAGUGGGCCUAGUGGCCCAUGAGAGACUGUCUUGGGCCGCUAGCGGCUCGGCCGCACGGCACGAGUUAGCCAUAGCUCUGUUCCACAUCUCCUUUUUCCUCUCAGCUGGAUCCCUGUUCAUGCUGCUGAGCUUCUUCCUCCCCGGGACGUCCACACGGUUCCGGCAUCAGUGCUGGCAGACCGCCGCCGUGGCCUUCUUCUCGGCGGCCGUGAUCACGAGGCGGCAUCCGGUGGUCUGGUCCCCGGUGAUCCGCCGCUGGUCCGGCCAGCGGAACCAGAAGCCCAAGCCGCCGCGUCCCGUCGGCUAUUGAAGGUGAAGGCUGAAGGAAGGCUGAAGGGGCGACGACUGACAAUGUUCGUGAAGGCGAUGGUGCUUGUCUGUUUGAUGAUGAGUUGACGAUCAAGUUCGUGAAGUAGUGAUGCUAUUUGUGAAAGUUGUUUUCCUGGAUGCUAACUAUUGGAUGAUUCGGUGAUCCGUGUAAUUGUUUCGUUUAAAGACAUCAGUACCACUUGUUGAUCACCAUGCUGUUGGAGUUCUUGGAGCUGUCCCCUGACUGCUCUGUUUCAGUGUUCCUUUGUGCAAAAUACGCAGGCCUGUUUGGGGCAACAAGUGACUUUCUUCCGUUCUCGAAGAUACGCAGGCCUGUUGGGGCUACAAGACUUUUUUCCGUUCUCCAAGAUACGCAGGCCUGUUUGGGCAACAGAUUUUAGUGAAACAAUAAUCUGAGCAAGCUAAUUGAACAUAACUUACUACGUUCCGACAACUCGCUUAGUAUUUGCUUGCUCUUAUUGUCGCCAAAGAUUCUUGCCAUGCCAAAAUCUGAUAUCUUUGGGUUCAUCGCUGCACCCAACAAAAUGUUGCUCGCCUGUGGAUGAUUGUCAGUCUUCUUAAUGGAGGCAAAGAAGACCUCGAGCAACCCCUUUGAUUAUCUUCAAACUCGUGGCCAAUCCAGGCAUCCAACGCUGAUUUUCUUGCACUAACUGCAAAAGAGCAACAUUUUCAUGAGCAAGAUGAACUGUUUUUCAGUGCUAAUUCAGCAGUUGUGUGAAGCUACUAGAACAUACUGAAAAGAGUAGCAUAUGCAAAUCUAAGCUAUGGCUUACUUUGUAAACGUUGCUUAAACCUCCUUCCCCAAUCGUUGAUGCUUCAGAGACGUUAUCGGUUGCGACGAGUAUCUCAUUAUAUUUAACAAAUGGGAGCUCAAGAUUUUGGACUGGCAUUUCGUGCCCAUGUUCAUCAGAAACAUUCAGAACUCGCAUGGCUCACCUCUUGCUAUCGGCGGCCCUAUAUAUUUUCUUGAGCAUUUCUUCCAUCAUGCGAGUACAACACAAGUGUAAAUUGUUGUGCAUAUACAGCACGGUUACCGCUCUAUGGAUGGAACUAGAUGGUGAAAAUAUGCUAUGACUGUAGUAUCUUUGAACUUGGGAAAACAUAUGAAAAUCCAUGUAAAAUUCCACCGCAUUUCUCCUUCUCUUCCUACCUACAAAAGGUGGAGCGGAUGCAAUAUAUCAGGUGACCGUCUUCAGUUUUCUCAGUGGAUGCUUCUUAUUAUCGAAAAGUGUUCGAAAGAUCUGCCGCGAUACGUCAGGGGUGGGCACCAAAUGAUUUCCGUAUGAUACUUGGAGCUGUCCCGUCUCAGUUAUCGGUCAUUACCCAGCACACUUGGCUCCUGACGCGCGCAGUAGAGGCGAUGAGCAUCACCAAUUCACCAUCAUGCAUGGGUACGUUGCCCAGCUUGGCAAGACAGUGCAACUGCCACCGCCUGAGAAUGGCGUAAGGCCGGCGAAACGCGCCGGCUGGGAGAGCCUUCACCGGCCGCCGACGGUGUAUGGGGCGCCGCCGUAUGCCACGGUGGGUGGUAUGAUCGACGUUCCAUUUCGUUGUGCAGCUGUGCCAACACCUGGGAUCAACGCACAGCGCACUAGUAGUGUAGUGACCGGGAAGAAAAUUCUAUGCGGCGGUGUCGCACCACGAUCCACCGGCGGUCACCGUCUACAAUGGCGCUGGCGCCCAACACCGUGCGUGGUUGCUACUCUCCGGCAGUCCGGCGCGCAUCGAUCGCCGGCCUUGUGCCGUACUGCCGUUCUUGCAGACGGCCGCCACCGCCUUGCCUUGCCAAGCCGGCAAGCCUUCGAGACGUCCACCUACUACGUCCCUCCGCGACGAGCCGACGAGCCAGCCCAUCAUUUGCGGCAGCGCGCCUCCAGGACAGGUGCAUGCAUUUUAGUUGGAUCGAUCAGCCUCGUGCAAAUUUUCAACAAAUUCCAACGACACGUCCAGCGCAAGAGGCUGUUCACUUGCACCAAAAGAAAGAGAGGGAAACAAAGAGGCUGUUCACUUGCUCUGCGAAAACAAUUGGGAGCUGUUCCUUACAUGAAUCCACCGCAUAACCGUCUCUGUCCAUCUCAGUAUCUUACUGAGAUGAUGGCAUAAAUUUAGCAAGUGUCGCGCCGCAGUAGACUAGAUACGUCAUCGAUUCAUCAUAAUAUGAGUAGCCUUGGAGUGGCAUAGAUAAGAACGACCAGAACUAGAACUGUCAGUCUCCCUUCUUAACGGUUCCUGUCAUGGUUCCGGCCGGUGCAAACCAAAUUCAAGUACGGUGUUUUUUUUUGAAAUGAACCAAGCUAAGUACGGUGUCUUGAACUUAUAGUUUACUUCCUAUGCCAAUUGAACUUUUGGACGUUACCUAGCCAACAGUGCAAUUGCAUCGACCUAAUCAUUUUUCUCGUGAGAAUACAUGCAGCAGGUUGUUGAUCCUCAGCAGUCCUCGUCAUAGUUUGGGUUCAUUUGGUAGGAUUGUGGCUGAAACGACUCUGGCUAUAGUUUCUUUGGUGGAGCAGCUUUUUUUUCUCCGACUUAUCUGGUUGGAAAAACGUUUGGCAAAACGGCUUCUCCUGGUAGUUUAAAAUUUCUUUUAUUCUCAUCUUAUCCAUUCAUCUCUGCCGGCCGGCCAUCCAUCUCUAUCCUUUAUGCUCCCGCUGACUGGCUGCCUCACCCCUGCUGCCGUCAAGCUCUCCCCCACCCGCGGCUCGUCCGCGCCGCGGUUGAGCUUCGCCCGCGACUCGUCCACGCCGCCGUCGAGUUCCCCACCCCCGAUGCGCCUACGCGCGCCGGCCUCCUCCAUGCACCCACCAGCCAACUCGCCCCUGCCUCCAUGGUCAAACUAGGGAGUUUAACCCCGGGAGCAAGAUGGAGCCGUGGGGAGCCUAUUUUUUGGGCUCCGUCUCCAUCAAUCUGCUCCAAUCACCGUAUUUUGCGGAGCUCUGAUGGUGGAGCCAUUUCUUCCCCCACCCCUUUAGCAAGGCUUCGAAAAAAACCGGUGGUGAAGCUGGUUCGGAAGUUCUGCCUAAGGGGCCUUUAUUAGAUCUCCAGUUCUCCACCUCCACUCCACGUGAAACCAGCACUACCACUUGAGCCUUUGAGAACGGAGAGAGAUCACAAAAAUGCUAAGCUGGCUGCCCACCUUGAUGGAUCGGCCGGCCUCAUCCUACGUCGCCGCCGUCCUCCUCUUCUUGCUUUUGCGGCCAUUAUUGUGUGCGUCCGACGACCGGCUUGUCCUCGGCAAGGCGCUCUCGCCUGGCACACCACUCGUCUCCGAUGGCGGCGCCUUCGCGUUGGGCUUCUUCUCCCCGCCCAACUCCGACUCAUCGUCACUGUACCUUGGCAUCUGGUACAACAACAUCCCAAAGCUCACCGUGGUGUGGGUGGCCGACCAGGCCGCCCCCAUCACCGGCGACCAUCUUUCAUCCACCCCACCGGGCACGCUCGCCCUGACCAAUGCCAGCAACCUGGUCUUGUCCGACGCCACCGGCCGAGUGCUCUGGACGACGAACGUCACCGCCGACGACGCGGUGGCCUCGCCGUCGUCGAGCUCGAGCCCUAUGGCCGUGCUUCAGAACACCGGCAACCUCGUCGUACGGUCCCCGAACGGCACCGCCUUGUGGCAGAGCUUCGAGCACCCCGGCGACGCCUACCUGCCCAACAUGAAGAUCGGGAUCGUCUACCGGACGCACUACGGCGUGCGCCUCGUCUCGUGGAAGGGCCCCGCGGACCCGUCGCCGGGGAGCUUCACCUUCGGCGCGGACCCGGACAGGCCCCUCGAGCUGGUCAUCUGGAACGGGACGCGCGUUCACUGGCGCAAUUCGCCGUGGGAGGGCUACAUGGUGGACAGCAACUACCAGAAGGGCGGCGGCAGGUCCGCCAUCUACAGGGCGGUCUACAACAGCGACGAGGAGAUAUACGCCGCCUACACCCUCUCCGACGGCGCGCCGCCCAUGCAGUACCGGCUGAGCUACUCCGGCGACCUGGAGCUGCAGAGCUGGAGCAACGACUCGUCGGCGUGGGUCACGAUCAUUAGGUACCCUACCCGCGCCUGCAGCGCCUUCGGCUACUGCGGCGCUUUCGGCUACUGCGACAACAGCACGGACGCCGCCGUGCCGGCGUGCCGCUGCGUCGAAGGGUUCGAGCCGGCGAGCGGUGCCGGCUGGAGCCGCGGUGACUUCUCGCGCGGGUGCCGCCGGAAGGAGCCCGUGCGAUGCGCCGACGGCUUCGCGGCGGUGCCGAACAUGAAGCUGCCGUAUGGGUACACGCUGGUGGCGAACCGGAGCUUGGAGGAGUGCGCGGCGGGGUGCAGCCGCGACUGCGCCUGCGUCGCGUACGCGUAUGCGAACUUGAGCACCAGCGCCACCAAGAGGGACCCCACCAGGUGCCUGGUGUGGACCGGCGAGCUGAUCGACAUGGAGAAAGUCGUCGGGACCUGGGGUGACUUCGGUGAGACGCUCUACCUCCGGCUUGCCGGCGCCGGCGCAGGUACUGAGUAUUAUUGUUCCACUAAUCCACUCCCAUGUUUUCGUGUGGUGGCGUCAGCCUCAGAAAUAGAUUUCAUCAGACGUUUAAUUUGAUGGCUAAUGCAGAAAAGGAAAUGAGCAUUGCCUUUUUUUUUUCAGGCAGGGGGGCAAGGAAAAAUGUAGUGAAAUUUGCAGUUCCGGUGCUUUUGGCAAGUGUUCUUAUACCCAUAUGCAUCUUCAUAUGUUUUCCCAAGUUCAAAGGUAAAUUAUAGAUUUCUUUAUAUCUACCAGUUCCAUUACAAUAUGCGCAACAAUUAACACUUGUGCGUUCCUCAUGAGAGAAGAAAUGCUGAAGAAAAUCAACGGGGAAAAUAGCAAGAGGCGAGCAAUGCGAGUUUUGAGUAUUUCUGAUGAACUAGGGCAUGAAAUCCCUGCCCAAGAUCUUGAGCUCCCAUUCAUGAGAUAUAAUGAUAUACUAAUUGCAACGGAUAACUUCUCUGAAGCGUCAAUGAUUGGGAAAGGAGGUUUCGGCAAAGUUUACAAAGUAGGUCACCUAGUGGUAGUUUUUUGCUGUUCACAUUCACAAGUUGCUGAAAAAAAAUUGCAUAUUGAAUUGGUUUUUUUUUUUCCUUCGAAGACUACUAACAUACGAAGAACCUCUUACAAUUCUGAAGGGAGUGUUAGGUUGUCGGGAAGUUGCUGUCAAAAGGCUUAGUAUUGGUUCCAAGCAGGGAUUAGUGGAGUUCAGAAAUGAGGUACUAUUGAUUGCCAAGCUACAGCACAGAAAUCUUGUUCGACUUAUCGGCUGUUGCAUGGAAGGAGAUGAAAAACUGUUGGUCUAUGAGUAUUUGCCCAACAAGAGCUUGGAUGCUACUCUAUUCAGUAUGUUCUAGUAUCUCUCCACAAGCUGCCCAGAUAGUGCUGAAAAACCAGUUCAUCUUGCUCAUGAAAUGUGGCUCAUGUGCAGGCAGUACAAGAAAAUCAGUGCUGGAUUGGUCCAUGCGAUUCAAGAUAAUCAAAGGAGUUGCUCGAGGACUUCUUUACCUCCAUCAAGAUUCAAGACUGACAAUCAUCCACAGAGAUCUUAAGUCGAGCAACAUUUUGCUGGAUGGAACCAUGAACCCAAAGAUAUCAGACUUCGGCAUGGCAAGAAUCUUUGGUGACAAUCAAGAACAAGCAAACACUAAGCGGGUCGUCGGAACAUAGUAAGUUCCAUUCAAUUAUUUUGAUCAAAUUAACGUUUCAUUGAACCUGUUGCAAUGACUAAUGUUUUCAACCCAUACUGGUCAAUUUAGUGGCUACAUGGCUCCUGAAUAUGCUAUGGAGGGCAUCUUUUCUGUGAAGUCUGAUGUCUAUAGCUUCGGCGUAUUGCUCUUGGAGAUUAUAAGUGGUGUUAGGAUAAGUUCCACUGAUUACAUUGAAGACUUCCCAAAUCUUAUAGUCUAUGUAAGUAUUAUUAUACUUUAUGAAUUCUACACAAGAUUUGAAAAUCUCAAAGUUGAUAUUCUAGGGAGGAGUAUAAAUGGAAACACCAAUCUCAAAGUUAAGGGGCUCAAAUGAAUCUGCAUGAUGUUUGUUACAGGCAUGGAACCUAUGGCAUGAUGGUAAGGCAGAGACUAUGAUAGAUUCAUGUGUUGUGUCAGGUUGCAUUGUGGAUGAAGCUAUGCUUUGUAUCCAUGUAGCACUACUGUGUGUUCAGGAAAACCUGAAUGAUCGGCCAACCAUGUCGUCUGUUGUGCGUAUCUUGGAUAAUGGAAGCAAGUCACUUCAGGCGCCAAAUAGGCCUGCAUAUUUUGCAGAAAGGAAUAAUGAAGCAGAGCAGACAGGAGACAGCGCCAAGAACUCUAACAACACUGUGACUCUUACAGUUCUGGAGGGACGAUAGAGCAAUCUUGGUGUGAGUCAGAUAUGAUGGCGGUGCCGGGCGAGAGCCUCUCGCCUGGGGCAAGCUUGUCAUCGGAAGUGCACAAGGCCGGCAAGAGGAGGAAGGCUGCGAUGCAGAUAGAAACGGAAUUCAUGGAGGCAGACUCGCUUUGGUGCUACGUUGUGAACGAGAAAUCUUCCUGAGAGUUGUAGUGGAGAUGCAAGUGAGCAGCUGACUACUUGGAACUUGGAAGUCUUUGGUUCGUGCGCAAUGAUGCAACACUUUUAACAUUUUCUCGUAGAUCAUAUGUAAUGGAGUUGAAUAACCUAGUACAUUAGCAGUUCAGUUGUACACAUCGAAGCAGUUGUUACUUUGCCUCUUUUUAGAGUUGUUAAUGUAGCAUUCGCUUCGCUGCCUAUUGUGUGGAUCGCCUGCCAUUUUAAAGUGUCGCUGAUGUACUCUGUCACUAAGUAUGUUGUCAGCUAUGGGUCGCUGUUGGAUCGGACUUACAGCCGCCCCCCAAGUGUGGGAUCUGAUCAUUUAAAAUGACCGCCGUCUGAUGGUAAUUGGUUUGGGUCAUCUCUGAUUAGGUUGCAGUACGAACAAAGCUUUCUGAUAAACAGACGUGACUCUAUAUGCUUUCAAGUGGGGAUUUAGUCGCAGUCGGUGUUAACACUACUGUAUUGGAUACAAACCUUAUCGGACCAAGACGAAAGAGCUGAUAUGACCGACUAUCGGUGAUAAUUAUAAUUAUAAAUUUCGGUGAUUCAAAUUUGAAAAGAGGAGGAUAUCUCUGCAGCUAAAAAAGCAAAACUGAGUAAAAAAAAUUUCGGUCCGCCAUCCAUCCUUUCGCCCGUCCGUUGCCUCCAUUCGCGUUCGCGCUGAUCGCGUACGCCGUCGAUCCGAUCGAGCCCUUCCGACGUCCCUCACCUUCCCACCACAAUCGCGCCUUCAACAGUGACCCUCCGAUCCAACCCCACGCGCCCUCCCUCAUCGCCUCACGCAGCCAUCGCCGCCGUCUCGCCUCCGCCAUCGACGCCGUCUCGCCUCCGCCAUCGACCACGCCAUCGCCUCGACCACGCGCCGCCAUCGCCUCCACCCCGCGCCAUCGUCUCCUCCAACACACGCCGCUGUCUCAUCCAACUGGGGGCUGAGGUCUCCUCCGACCCAACGCCAUCAUCUCCUACGGCCCGGCACCGAGGUCUCCUCCAAUCCGGCGCCGCCCUCUCCCCCAACCCUGUCGUCGCCGCCUGGAUCAUCUGUACGUGUCCACCCUUGCGGCCGUCCUCCGCGGCGCCGCCCGACUGCUGCCACCAUAGGUUCGGUGGCCCCUAGACGCCGAUGAAGUGGGCACUCGCCCUACAUCCCAUCCCAGCGCGGGAGCGGCCGUCGGAGAGGGAGGUCGGUUCCCUUUGUCGCUGCCGCUCAGCCUCAAUUGACUGGUAAGAGUAAAGCUUUUUCCUCAAUCAUCCUCCAGUUGUGAUUAUACACUACUACUACGGCUCAUCCUCAAUUAGUCUCCAUAUUCAUGAAUCAGAAAGCGCAAAGCGCAUAUUUGUUGGUUACUUGAUUAAAGCAUUCCUCAUCAUAGGGAAAAUGUUAAUCUAUAACCGAAGGACUGCAUUGCUCUUGAUGUGAACCUGCAUACAUUUCUAUAACUGAAGGAUUAGCUGCAGAAAAGGAUUCUCAGGUUUCUCCAUUGUAUAAAACCAGUCGCGCAGAGUAUUGCUUUUGGUGUUUGGAAAUAGAUAUAUGGAGGCUAUUCUUUUUUCUCACUAUUCUACAGAGGUUUAGAAAACCUAUUGUUGUGAACAUAAGCAUAUUCCUGUUACUGUUUAAAGUAAAUGUGCUAUUCAGAACAGUCAUGAGGUUUAGAAAAUCAACAUGUUUGGGACUUCCUUGAACGCAAAAGGAAUUAUUCAAUCUUGCAUUUUCUAACAUACAAUCCCUUCGUUCUCACCAGGAAAAAUAUCGUGCUGUCCGGUUCAACCUAAACUUGUGGUCAUCAGGCAGAAGGUUUGCAAAUGGGAGACUGAACAUCACUUUCCCUCUACUUCUUAAAUUUGAUUUAUGAUCAAACUAGCCUGAAAACACAAAAAAUGACUCAAAUAAACAGAUGACUAAUGAGGUCGGAAGGUCAUUGUUUGCUAAUGCUGGAGAACUGGGAGUGCCAGUUGGAAUAAUGGUGAUGAAGGUAAAAAAUGCAUUCCUCUAUUAGAUGUAUGUGCACUUACUAUUGGACUUUGGGAUUCCGACAGCAAGAAUAAUGUAGCAAUAUGUUCACAUCGUAAAGAGGAGAAGAAGGGCUCACAUUCGAACAAAGAUUCACAUAUUAUAUAUUGUCAGGUUGUGCAAUUCUAGAGCCAGAAGAACUGAGUAAACUAAUAGUCCAGACAAAUGCGAACUUUUAGCCCUGUUAGUUACACAAGUCACUUGUUACAUGAGCUUCAUGAAAAUCCUGUCUGCAUCUUUUUUGCAAAAUAAAAUUGUAUGAAUAGGCUCCUUGAAUAUAAAGCAACAGGGACUUAAUUAUGCUCUUUGUUACAAAGUUAGAAUUAUAUAAUUAUUCCUUGUUGUUCUUGUGUAUGCAGGGAAUUAUUCUAUAUAUUCAGGAAAUAGAUGUUGUGGACAACUUCUUUGGCAAGAAGUUCCACUGCAGGAACAAGGGCCCACCUCCUCCAGGAGAUGCUAGUUAGUUUAGAUUCAGAUUAGAGAUAGAGUUGGAAUUAGUUGGGAUUUUGUAAGCCGGCCCAUUAUAUAAGAGUCCUGAUGCUUUAGAUUAGGUUUAAGCAGAAGAUAAACCUCAGAGCUCAGAGCCUCCUAGGGAGGGCGAGCAGAUUGUUUAUCAAUCUGCUCAUCAUGUUCUUAGUCAAUCAACUAGCCAUAUCAAUAGAGGAGCUCUGUAGGGAUAUUCCUGAAACUACUGUUAUUCUUGAUCAUAUGGCUUUCUGCAAGCCACCAACGUAAACUUGUGUUUUUGCUUGUUCAUAGUCUGUGUGAAUGUAGUCAUAUGAAGCUAUAGCCUGUAGUAGCUUAUAUUGCAUUACAAUACAAGGACAACUAAGAAGAGAGGGCAUUCUCAUUAUUUCUAAACUUAUCCAGAUUCCCACAGGUAAUCUCCAAAACCUCUUUAUUUUGUCCAUUGGCAGAUCAAUGUGGUCAUGGAAAAAAACAGUUUUUAUUGUGCAAAUGAGCCUUUUUCAGUACCAGCUGACAUUAGCACCCUCAGAUUUUGUUGUCAGAGAUCCAGGGGCAGUAACACUAUUUUGUGAGGGGCAAUACCUAACCUGAUUUAUUGUCAAGUAAUGGCAUCAAGAAUAAAGUGCCAGAUUGUAGAAGUUGUGCAGUUAAUUCCAUUCCUUCUAUUUCUGUAACAUUAUACUUGCUCUAAUGCCAUGAUGCGUUACUUCAAAAGUUUAUGUCAAAUAUAGUGCUCUUUUCCGCAUCUCAAGCGAAGCAUAUCCAUAUGAAGAUACUGCUCAGCUUCUUUCCCGUGUGAUAUCUAACUAUGGAGCCAAUCGAAUAAUGUGGGAACAGUGAAUUUGCAUACCCACUGAUAGUUUCAAUUGGUCAUAGACUCUAACAGUGCCUAUGAGAAACCACUCUCAGUUAACUGAUAGCAUGCUCUGAAGUGUCGGAUUAGCAAAUUUGUCCGGUUUGCUUAAAAAAAAGAUGGUGUAGUGUAGUGUAGUGUUGCUGGUAGGAUAAUAUAUUCCGGAGGAGCUAAAUCAAGAUUUUGUGUUCCUGCAAUGAUCUGUGCCAUCACACCAACUUGCUGGAUAUGUGUUUGUUGUAAUGUUUUAGAAUAAAUAUAUUCUGCAUUAUCUUUAACUCUAACAGGCUUCUACUCUGUAGCUGUUUUGCAGAUUGCAGCAAGACUAAUGUCCAGUGUGGACAUACAGUCCAACUCUGCAAGGGAAAGUAUACUGUAUUAAGCAUCCUAUCAUUGCAAUUAUUCUAAUUUAGUUUUGCUGUGCACUAGAUUUACUUAAUCAAAACCUUAUUUUCCUUUACUACUGAGAUAUGUAACCAGAUCAUGAAGAUGCGAUACCAGAUGUACACUGACAUUGCUUUCAGCCAAGUAUUUAGUACAGGAAAUUUCCCAUGAUGAUACCCUGGCUAUUUGUGCACUGGCAAUGAUCCCUCGAUACCUUAAAGGUACUGAGAUUUCAUUUCCAAGAAUUUUUGAGUAAUGUUUGUCACAUGGGUUCCUUUUUUUAAUUGAUAAUGGAGAAAUUCAAAUGAAUUAGCUUCCUGAACUACUAGAACCAUAUUUACACCUAGUCCCAGCAAUUUCUUUAAUAUUGAUAUAUCUUCAGUAGGCAUGUGAGUGUGCAAAAUCAUUUCAAUUAUAUUAGCAGCACAUUGACUCAGAGCUAGGACUGGAAUAUUUUGUCUGCGGAAGAUGCUUCCUCUAAGCCAUAGGGAAGUAUUCAGGUGCAUCCCCUGCUCCGAUUACCCUUUCAUAAUGAACAUAUAUACAUAUGAAACUUGCAGCUGUUGGAGAUCCAGUCAUCAGCUAUUGAGGAUAGAAGAAGAUUAAGCAAUUAAAGAAGCAAGAAGAUUUUGCUAAUCACCUUCUGUUGCCUGGUUUGGUAUCUCAAUGGAACAAGCGGUUCUUCAUUUUUUUGAUUGAUGAAACUGAAGAUGCAAUCAAGUAGAGGAACAUCACACUGGACCAUGUUGUAUGUUGUACAGUAGUCAGUAGAAUAUAUGGUUCCUAAAUAGGUGUUUGGAUACGAGGUGCUAAACUUUAGCAGGAUCACAUCGGAUGUUUGGAUGCUAAUUAGGAGGACUAAAUAUGAGCUAAUUACAAAACUAAUUGCACAGAUGGAGUCUAAUUCGCGAGAUGAAUCUAUUAAGGCUAAUUAAUCCAUCAUUAGCAAAUGGUUACUGUAGCACCACAUUGUCAAAUCAUGGACUAAUUAGGUUUAAUAGAUUUGUCUCGCGAAUUAGACUCCAUCUGUGCAAUUAGUUUUGUAAUUAGACUAUGUUUAAUACUCCUAAUUAGUAUCUAAACAUCCGAUGUGACCAAUGUACAAAAUCGCGGGCUAUGGAACUUAGCGGAGGCCUUCCAAAAACGCUAUGAGUGCUAUAGCGUCCGCUAUAGCGGCGCUAAGCCAUUUAGUGGAUUGCAAAAAGACAUGGACAAGUAUUAAUCAAAUAACCAAAUGGCAAAUAUUAAUAUUUUAGUUACUAAAACAAACAAGUACACACUUCAUUCAGACAAGUAGGAGAUGGCGUGCUGCUGACCUGCCGUGUGCAGGUGCAGCUGCAGAGGAGAUGGCGUGCUGCUGACCUGCCAUCUGUAGGUGUAGCAGAGGAGAGUCCUAGGCCCAGGCACAAGCAGCCACGGAAGGAAAGUGGAGAUACACUCUCACCUCUCGGUCUCGUCUCUCAGCUCAGGCGAUUUAGACGCCGAUGGCGGUGACGAUUUUUGGAUGGGAAUGACAGAGAGGAGGCUCCGGUGCUAGGGUUCCCAAGGAGAGCAGGAGUAGCACAUAUACACGAUCGAUCUAUUGGGCCGCCGAACCAGUGCUGGAAGCCUAGAAAUCGGCCUGCCUAUGCAUUUUGGCCCGCGCCUGAAUAUUCCGUCGUAGCGGUGCUACAGGCUAUAUGCCGCUACGCCAUUUAGCGCCGCUAUUUAACGCUAUAGCGACUGCAGCGGCCAUAUCAGCAUUAUGCACCUGUAGCUUAGCAGUUGUGCCUCCAAAACGCUAUAGCCCCGCUAUAGCGGGACUAUAGCCCGCUAUUUCGUACAUUGGAUGUGACUAGUGCUAAAGUUUAGCUGGGGGUAUCCAAACACCCCUAUGUUGAUUGUAGUGACAAAAUAUGUAUAUGCAAGGUGUAUCGUAGUCCAUAUAUGCAUCUAAAGUAAAUAAUGAUCUGACUAAAGUAAUGUAAUAUUUGUUCUUAUUUUCACACUAUUAUUGUCCCGUUGGAUGCUCCCACAUAUUGCAAUAUUAAUAUUUUGUAGCCCGUAGCAACGCACGGGCAUGAUCCUAGUGUAAAGAAAAGAUUGGUAUUCAACUAAAAAAUAUCGAUAGGUGUUUUACCAUACAUUUCGAAUGAUGGUCCCACAUGGCUUUUCUUUGUUUACAAAUUUAAAUGGUACUGAAUAUUUGAACGGUUCACCAGUUUAUUGGCCCUGCCCCAGCCAAUAUUGCUGAUUACUUAUGAUGUCGAAGAUAUAUCGUUGAUUCCUAACGUUGGCGCACGUUUUUGCCCAAAUUUCAUACCACUGAUGGAAAUGGGGACCAACUAAUUCACAGGAAUUGAAAAAAAAACAAAAAUUGGUAUUUUCAGCCUUCGAAUCGGGACAUUUCCCUUGCCAGGCAACGAGAAAACCAUUGAGCUGUAGCCUAACUUAUGAAUACCAUUUCUAUAGAACCUUUAAUAAGCAUUCUAAAUACUUUAAAUAUUCAAUUUUGAGGAAAAAUGACCGAAAAAUCUCCAAAUUUAGAGAUUUUUUGUGAAGUUUGCUUUUCGAUGGAGACAAAAGAAAAAUCAUAAAUCGAAAUUGGAACCCAUGGUUCUAACGGUACGUCCUUCCUUUCAUCGAAAGGUCAGAGUCUCUUCCUUCAUGGGAAAGAUUUUCUAGGUAUUGAGGGGACAAAUAAAAUUGUCAAAAUCCAUCUUUAUCUUAAAUUAACUAUAAGUGCUAUCUAUACUAUGAGGUAUUUUUAGGACAUGAUGCGUGGGAAAAUGAGUGUACCCGUAGUUUAAGGCUGCUUAAUCAGCUGGGCACAACUUCUGAAAAACCUUGAAGUUCUCACGUUGAAAGCAUAUAGGACUGGAGCCACACCUAGCUUCUUCUUCUGUUUUCUACUGUAAAAUAAAAUGCCCGUGCUGUAAAUUUAAAUUUAUCCGCGAUGACCCAGUUCAAAACCAAUUAAGAUCAGACGGCGAUUCUUUUUAGAUGAUGAGAUCACAGCCCCCUCUGGAAGUGUAAGCUGAUGCCUGACGCUGACGGCAAUGACUGCAUUACCGGCCAUAGACAGCUCAAAUGUCACCACCAACGUUUUAUUUGUGCUGUCUAGGAAACAAUAACCAGCUUACUGUAGAUACUAGACAUCUGCAUUAUUGCCUGCAGACCAAGUCCUAGUAUAUCCUUGGGUUGUGAGGCUUGCCAUGAGCUGGAAAUUUGUCUGAUGCUCCCACAUUUUAGAGUUUGGCCGCGCAGAUGCCACAGCGACCUGUAAUUGACAACAUAUGCUCAGUGUCAGAGAGUACGUUAACAACACUUGAAAAUGGCAAUUUGGGUAUCCACAGUAAGCAACGAUGGAAGUACAGAUUUAACAAUCUGAAGGUGGCAAAGGAACAAGUGCUACGAUGUGUACAGCUCAACUGCAAUUGUAUUAUGUCAUAGUCUAUAUAUGGUUUAGUACAGCUCAAGUGCUGCAUAUUAUUAUGCGAACCAAGGCUGCAGGAGUUUAUGUUAGUCUAGUACCCAGUAGCUAGUUGCACACUCCCCUACAUCUCGACGGCCAUUUUGAGUUAGAGCUCCACUAGUUAACACUGCAGAAAGUUUUUGCAUCCAUGAGUUCCAUUUCCAUCUGGAUCGCAGCUAUCCUCCUCUUGCCAACCUUGUGCGCUUCCGAUGACCGGCUUGUCCCAGGCAAGCCGCUCUUACUUGGCUCCACCAUCACCUCUGAUGGUGGCGACUUCGCCCUGGGCUUCUUCUCCCCAUCCAAUUCCACUCCGGAGAAGGUCUACCUCGGCAUAUGGUACAACAACAUCCCUCGGCUUACCAUGGUGUGGGUUGCUAACCGGGAAGCACCGGCCAUCUCCUCCUCAGCUCCUUCGCUUGUUCUGACCAACACCUCAAAUCUUGUCUUGUCUGAUGUGAAUGGCCGUGUCCUCUGGACAACCAACACCACCACUGCUGCUGCAAGCUCCUCGCCAUCGCCAAGGUCGAAUGCUACUGGGUCGGUAGCAGUGCUUCUGAACACAGGCAACCUCAUUCUUCGGUCGCCAAACGGCACGACGCUGUGGCGGAGCUUCGACCACCCGGCAGACACUCUCCUCCCAGGCAUGAAGAUACGGAGGAGCUACAAGACAAAUGAUGGCAACCGCCUUGUUUCUUGGACUGGACCGGAGGAUCCCUCGGCGGGCGCCUUCUCCUUCAGUGGAGAGGCAGAACCGUUUGCGCAGGGCUUCAUCCGGAAUGGUUCACAACCAGUGUGGCGCAGUCCUGUAUGGACAGGCUACAUGGUCUCCAGCCAGUACUUUCAGGCGAACACCAGAAUUGGUAUCUACAUAGCAUAUGUGGACACCGUCGACGAGGUGUCCAUGGUCUUCACCGUCUCCGAUGGUGCUCCACAUGUGCGGUAUGUGAUGAGCUACUCUGGCAGGCUAGAAAUAUUCAGUUGGAACAGGGACUCAUCAAAUUGGACCAUGCUUACGGCAUGGCCGAGCCACGAGUGUAGCAGGUACGGCUACUGUGGGUUCUCUGGCUACUGUGACUACACGGAGGCUACCCCGACUUGCCAGUGCCUUGAAGGGUUCGAACCCGUGGAUGCGGGAGAAUGGAGCACCGGCAGGUUCGAGCAGGGCUGCCGGCGAAAGAAGCCACUGCGAUGUGGGGACAGUUUCUUGGCAUUGCCGGGUAUGCAGGUGCCUGACAAGUUUGUACGCAUCAGGAAGAAAGUCCUCAGUGAGUGUGAAGCGGAAUGCAGAAAUAAUUGUUCUUGUGUGGCCUACGCAUAUGCAAAUUUGAACAGCAGCAUAAUGAAGGAUGACCCGACAAGGUGCCUUGUGUGGAUUGGUGACCAGCAGCUAAUUGACACACAGAAGAUAGGUGUGACUCCCUAUAGUACUGCUGGUGCUGACAGUCAAGAGACGCUAUAUCUCCGAGUUUCAGGCAUGCCAGGUACCAUUUCAUAUCAGAAGAACUUCUAUCAGAGGCAUAAACCAAGCAGACGUGCCCCUAUAUAUCAGGGGCAUUCCCACUUGUGGCAUGGUGUCUUAUCACGUUAUCCUAACGGCCUUACCACACUAUCAUCUUAGUACCCAGGUCUCUUUCCUAAAUAUGCAGGUACAUGACACUAGUUUUCCAUGAAAAUCAAGGAGCUAUCUAUUGACCACUGGAACUAGUUCAGAGGUUUCUGUUCAUGGAAAGUUGGAAAGUUGGCAGCUGGUUUCUGUUCAUGGAAAGUUGAAAACUAGUGUCAUGGAAAGUUGGCAGCUGGUUUCUGUUCAUUUUAUCUGGCUUGUGAAGUUGGCACCAAGAUCAUGGAAAUUUUGGUUAAAACAUAGAUACUGGAAAUCAUGCACAGUAGGGCAGUGGUAACUAGCUUUAGAAUCUGCUCACACCCUAGAACCAUAUGCUGAUCAUUAUAUGACUACAUGCAUAUUGCGGUCAAUCUAUGUGUAGCAAGAAUAGAUACUGAACCGAGAUAUGAAGCUUUCAUUUCUUUCUCAGUGAUCUUAAUUUCUUGUGCAACAUCUAGUUAAGGUGUCAUGUUAAUUCUUACUGGUCAUUAUUUUAACAAAAAGGUACUACUGUGUAAUGUAAGAAUGUAGCACUAAGCGCUUGUUCGGUUGUUUGAAGACUGAAAUCUGUAGUUGCAUGAUAUUAACUUGGUGCUAUAUAAAUAUAUAUGAAUAAUUUUUGCAUUGUUUUGAAGGUGGAAGGACAAAAACAAAUACAAAUGUAGUGAAAACUAUACUACCAAUUCUAGCGGGUGUUACUGUCCUCACUUCCAUUUUACUUAUAUGGGUCUGCAAGUUCAGAGGUUUGUUUUCCAUUCUAUAUACUGAUUGCAGUUACUUAAGAACAAAUACUCACCAACUUUUGGGAGCAGGAAGGAAAAGAAAUGUGGAAAUUCACAAUAAGGUAAUGCUUGGUGGUUCUUCAGAAGAACUUCGAGAAGAAAACGCUACCCAUGAUUUUGAACUUCCAUUCCUGAAAUUUCAAGAUAUCCUUGUUGCAACAAACAAUUUUUCCAACAUAUCUAUGAUUGGACAAGGAGGUUUCGGCAAAGUCUACAAGGUAAUUAUUUACGCUAGGACUUUCUCUGCUUUUCCUAGUUUAAUUCUUGAAUCAAGCAACUGCACUACAUACCACAAUCUUACCUUUCUUUGAUAAUUACAAAGGGGACACUUGAAGAUGGUCAAGAGGUUGCAAUCAAAAGACUUAGUAGGGACUCAGACCAAGGAAUACAGGAGUUCAGAAAUGAAGUUAUUCUAAUUGCCAAACUACAACACAGAAACUUGGUUCGACUUCUUGGUUGCUGUGUUGAGGGAGAUGAAAAGCUACUGAUUUAUGAGUAUUUGCCCAAUAAAAGCUUGGAUGCUGUAAUUUUCAGUAUGUUCAGUUCAUAUUCAUUUUUCACCAGAGUUUAUAUAGAUCUGAGCAGCUAUAAAUUAUCCUCUUCAUAAACAUGACAUAUUUAUUAUUUGUAGACUGUGAACAGAAUGCAGCACUUGAUUGGCCACUAAGGUUUACGAUAAUCAAAGGAAUUGCUAGGGGGAUUCUUUACCUCCAUCAUGAUUCAAGAUUAACAAUAGUUCAUAGGGAUCUCAAAGCUAGUAAUGUGUUGCUAGAUGCAGAGAUGAGACCCAAAAUAGCAGACUUUGGUAUGGCAAGAAUCUUUGGUGACAACCAGAAAAACGCAAAUACAACACGAGUUGUUGGGACAUAGUAAGCACUACUUAUUGCUCAAACUAACAUAUGAUUGAACCAAAUUCAUCUUUAUGACCUUUGCAAAUGAACCUCACCAGUGGUUAUAUGGCUCCUGAAUAUGCAAUGGAGGGUAUUUUCUCUGUGAAGUCUGAUGUCUAUAGCUUUGGCGUGUUACUUUUGGAAGUUGUAAGUGGUAUAAAGAUAAGCUCUGUUGAUCGCAUCAUGGGUUACCCAAACCUAAUUGUCUAUGUAAGCAAAUAUGAUUACCUUUUUUUAAUUGAGGUAAAGGAUUUUGAAACUUCCGGAGUUAUACAAUCUAAAUGACUGUGAUUGUUUCAGGCAUGGAACCUUUGGAAGGAAGGGAAGGCAAAGGAUUUGGUAGACAAGUGUAUUGUGGAGAACUGCUUACUAGAUGAAGCCUCACUUUGCAUCCACAUGGGGCUCUUGUGUGUUCAGGAAGAUCCUGAUGAUAGGCCAUUCAUGUCUAAAGUUGUGUUCAACUUGGAGAAUGGAUGCACAGCGCUACCAAAGCCAAAUCAUCCUGCAUAUUUCGCGCGGAGAAAUAGUGACAUGGAGCAAUUAAGUGAAGACAUCUUAAACUCUAAGAACACAGUGACUCUUACAGCCAUAGAUGGGCGAUAAAAUAUUUCUCAUGUCAGCUGUACACCUUUUGUCAAGCUUAAUGCUGCAAUGAGAUAACUGCAUUGCUAGUAAUCUCGAUGCUAGAUUAUGUGUGGGAAACCAAACCCAGUCUGGAGUGAAAUAUGAUAAAAAGCUAUAUGAGGCUCAAAGCAUGGCAGUGAUGAAACAGAAAGUCAGAAAACAUACAUAGCACUUGUAAAACGGCAUGGCAAUUGAAACUUUUGGACUUACUCAAAAUGCUUCAGGUUUCACAAGGGCAGCCAACGCAUGGGGUUCCUUACUUCCUUAGCAUGUAUCAGGACAUAAUCAAGCAUCUUCCAGAACAACGCAUCCUUUUCCAGAGCAUAAUUAUUUACUGAAUGGGGAAAUAAUACAGCUGCAGCCUACAAAAUGAAGACAUGCCAAUAUGCCAUCAGUAUUUACAAGGCUACAAACACCACCUUUCGUAGAGUAUUUACUUGUCAAAGUAAGAUGUGAAACCUCUUGCGAGUGUCAGGGGAUGCCAUGCCACCGUUGCUUGUCGCUCCCACUGACCGAGUAGGCUGUUUGACCACUUUGACGCGGCAUCGCCGAUGCCACAGAUACCAAGCACGCCACCUUCCGCACAUCAAUUGCGCCGCACCAACAGACGGUGUUCCCGCGGAUAGGGAUAGCUAGUUAGCUACCACAAACACGAUCCUGUCCACUAUACAUGGUGGAACGUGGUGCAGCCCGCCUAGUGACACAGACACACAGUGUACCAGCCGCUGGACAGUUCAGGCAUUCUGUCGAACAGGUGGAAGGCGUUGCGCCUUGCCUGUUUGCUGGCUGAGGCUGACGCUUUUGGAUUGGACACGGCCAACAGAAGAGGCCGAAUGAGUCUGUGGAUGAGAACAUGAGGGCGGAGGGACACCCGGCGCCGUCGACGGAGAGAAUGUUGCGAGCGGCACAGCUUUGGCUGAGACUCUCUCCUGUUCUCCUCUGCCGUGUCGCCACAUUUUGACAAAAAAAAAAUUCGAUGCCUCCUUGAACCUUUGAUCAUCUCGAAAUUUUCGAUCGGUAUGGAAGCUAGGUUUUGUUCGGAGGGUACAACAAGGACGUACGCAACCAACGCACUCUACACACACUACACGCGUGCACGUCCAUACACACGUUUACGGAAAAGAUUGGGAGACAUAAACCUCUAAUGCACGGGAAACGUGCAGUACCACUUACGUGCACGCGUGUGUACCUAGUGAACUCAGGAAUAAUCCUGAGCGAAACUGAGGAAAAACCCUGGUGAAGCACCUAGGUCCGAUCCCAGGGAUCGAACCCGGGCGGGUUGGGUGAACACCCUCGCCAGCAGCCACCUGAGCUAAGCUUGGUCUUCGGUAUGGAAGCUAGGUGUGAUCUACGACGUCAAACGCGCGGCGGUUUGUUUGCCUCAAUUACCCUACCAGUUUUCUCUUGUUGCUUAUCUGCAAUGUGUGGCCUCACCCACGCGUUAGUGGCAGUUAAACAACCCAGAAGCCCACUUGUCUAACCGAGCUCCAAUUCGUGCGGCAACACCCAGGUCAAAGGUCCAAAUCCGUGGUCAACUUGCAUUCGGAGUUAGAGUUUGUUUGGCAGGACUUUGACUCCUGUAAAAAAUAGCUCCGGCUGUGACUCCUCAUGUCCACUCCUCGCUAGAAGGAGCCGCUGAAGGAGCCCUACCAGGCCUUAGUAUGGACUCAUGUCCGCUAGUCAACGAGGAUUUCCCCGUGUUCAAACGCUAGGUCACCGCAGUCUAAUCCGGAUAGAGGCGAGGCAUCAGCACCAACAAGGACUUCUGCCUGGGGCCCAUUUUCUUGUCAGCGUGUUCUAUGUAAAAAGCUCAAACUCACGUACUGAUGCUCCAGUCCAUCUAUGGAAUUCUAGCGCCGGUGGUUCACGACGCCUCGAGGGCUACUUUUUCUCAAGAAAGGAAACAACUUUUGGUCUCAACUAGUCUAAUAUAGUACAUAUAGUACACACAUCAAACACAUACACAAUAAUAUCGAUGAAGUCACUCCAAGGAGGUUUCCUCCGCAGUGUUUUGGUGACGUUGCGAUGACUGUCUGGCCGGUGAUCCUGCACAAAUGCAAGAAAUUGAUGUUAAAUGCUCGGGUAGAUUUUGGUUUUACCAGGCGAGGUAUCAUGCUACUGCACUAUUAGUUUGUAGGAAGCUGCAACGCAGUUUACUCGUUGCAAAGUUUGACCAAGUAGAUUCUACAGACGGCCGGCCUAAUUAAAUUCGUUGAUGGCGGGAAUGCAUUAGUAAAUUUUGAUUGAAGGUGGCAUUGUGGUUUCGGACGACGACCUCAUCUCCACACUUCUUCUGGAUGCAUGCACCCAUAAGGCCAAGGUAAAACGACAACUUUCUCUAAGAAAAUAACACCACGUACGGUGGUAACAACCCUUUUCGAGGUGUACAUCUCAACUACGACCAACAUAUUUUGACUAGAAUGUUUGAAUUCACUAUAGUCUACGAGAAACCUGGAAAUUUUGCAUUCUUUCGUGCACACCAAGCGCGCAGGAGCUUGCUAUAUAUACUAUAACAAGUAGUCGCUUGCGCUCCUACCAACUCUAGCGCUUUGAUGGAUAGGACUAGCAAACUCACUCAGAGAGCCAGAGACACCGCAGCAAGUCCAAUGGCAUUCGUGAGUUCCAUUUCGGUUUGCACCAUGGCUCUCCUCCUCUUGGCGGCCCUGUGUGCUAAUUCGGAUGACCGGCUUGUCCCAGGCAAGCCGCUCUUGCCCGGCACCACCAUCGUAUCUGAUGGCGGUGACUUCGCCUUUGGCUUCUUCUCCCCAUCCAAUUCCACUCCGGAGAAGCUAUACCUUGGCAUAUGGUACAACAAGAUCCCCCGGCUCACCGUGGUGUGGGUUGCUAAUCGGGCAACACCGGCCAUCUCCUCCUCAGCUCCUUCUCUUGUUCUGACCAACACCUCUCAUCUUGUCUUGUCCGAUGUCAAAGGCCGUGUUCUCUGGACAACCAAAGCCACCAAAGCUGCAAGCUCCUCAAAAUUGCUGAAACUGAGUACUACCGGAUCAGCGGCGGUGCUUAUGAAUACAGGCAAUCUCAUCCUCCGUUCACCGAACGGCACAAUGCUGUGGCAAAGCUUCGACCAUCCGACUGACACUCUCCUCCCGGGUAUGAAGAUAUGGAGGAGCUACAAGACUGAUGAUGGCAACCGCCUUGUUUCUUGGAAAAGCCCAGAGGACCCCUCGCCAGGCACCUUCUCCUACAGUGGAGAGACAAAAUUAUUUCCGCAGAUCUUCAUCUGGAACGGUUCGCACCCAGUAUGGCGUAGCCAAGUAUGGACAGGGUACACGAUCACUAGUCAGUACUACCAGCUGAACACUAGCAUUGUGGUAUACCUAGCAUUUGUUGAUACUGUCGAUAAGAUAUCCAUGGUCUUCACCGUGUCUGAUGGUGCACUACCCAUGCGGAUUGUGAUGGGUUACUCUGGCAGGUUAGAAUCACGAGUUUGGAAUAAUAGAGUUUCAUCAGAGUGGGCAAUGCUUGGAAUGUCGCGGCCGGACUAUGAGUGUAGCAGGUACGGCUACUGCGGGCUCUCCGGUUACUGCGACUAUACAGAUGCUACCCCAACUUGCAAGUGCCUUGAUGGGUUCCAGCCCGUGGACAAGGAAGAAUGGAGCAAUGCCAGAUUCUCGCAGGGAUGCCAGCGAAAGGAGCCCCUUCGAUGUAGUGAUGGUUUCUUGGCGCUGCCAGACAUGAAGGUGCCUGACAACUUUGUGCGCAUUGGGAGAAAGACCUUCAAGGAAUGCGCGGCUGAGUGCAGUGGCAAUUGCUCUUGUGUGGCGUACGCUUAUGCGAGUUUGAAUGGCAGCACAUCAAAUGGCGAUGCGACGAGGUGCCUUUUGUGGAUUGGUGAUCAUCAGCUUGUUGACACGCAGAAGAUGAUGGCAGUACAUCCCUAUAGCACUGCUGGUGCCGAGAGUCAAGAGACGCUGUAUCUCCGAGUUGCAGGCAUGUCAGGUACCAUUUCAUAUCCCAUCUUAGCACUGAGGUCUAUUGCCCAAACUAUACAAUAACAUAAUAACACCACUAGUUAGUUUUCCAUGAAAAUCAAGGAGAAAUAUAUCUGUAGUCCACCGGAACUUGACUGUUCCAUUUAUCUGGUAUGUAAAAUAAGACCUACGAUCAUGCAUGACAACACGUAAUAGGACAGUGUGGCAACUAAUUUGGAGUCUGCUCACAUCCUUGAACCGUAAGCUGAUCACAAGGUAUGGCUACAUGCAUAUUAUUGGAGUCAAAUAUAUAUUGAAUAUAUACUGAACUGAGAUUCAUAAUAGUUUCUCGUACAACAUCAAGUUUAUGGAGUGUUCUUAAUUCCUAGGCCGUUAUUUAAUGAAAAAGGUACUAUUGUGUGUAAUGCAAGACCAUAGCACUUGUUCGCCUGUCUGAAGAUUGAACUCUGCAGUUUUAUGAUAUUUUUUUUUGAACGGAACGGCAAGAGAUUUGCUGUAAUUUUUAUUAGAAGAAGGGAAUAAAACACAAAGCCCAAAAAGCAAAAAGAAAAUACGCGACUCGGCAUGCCCUCACCCGAGACGACUCAACAGCACUAGAGCCGGCACAAAAACUAAAAACUAUAUGAAAAAGUUUUUGCACUGAUUUGCAGGUAAAAGGACAAAAAGGAACACACUAAAAGUUGCGCUACAAAUUUUAGCAGGUGCCGUUGUUCUCACUUCCAUUUUACUUAUAUGGGUCUGCAAGUUCAGAGGUAUGUUUUCUUCCAUAUGCUAAUUACUAAUCACAGUUACUCAGGAACAAGCUCUUAACAAGCUCUUAACAACUUUUGGGAGCAGGAAGGAAAACAAAUACGGAAAAUCACAAGAAGCUAAUGCACGGAGGUUUUACUACUUCAGAUGAACUUGGAGAAGAAAAAACUACCAAUGAUUUUGAACUUCCAUUUCUGAAAUUCCAAGAUAUUCUUGUCACAACAAACAAUUUCUCCAGUACAUCUAUGAUUGGACAAGGAGGUUUCGGAAAAGUUUACAAGGUAAUUUACGAUGGAGGUUUCCUUUCUUUGCUUUUCCUAGACUCAUUAUCUAAUUAAAUAACCUGCAGAACAUAUCACAAUCUUACUUUUCUAUGUUAAUCACAAAGGGGGCAUUAGAAGGUGGUCAAGAGGUUGCUAUCAAAAGACUUAGUAGGGACUCUGAUCAAGGAAUUCAGGAGUUCAGAAAUGAAGUUGUUCUAAUUGCUAAGCUACAACACAGAAACUUGGUUCGACUUCUUGGUUGCUGCGUUGAGGGAGAUGAAAAGCUGUUGAUUUAUGAGUACCUACCUAAUAAAAGCUUGGAUGCUAUCAUUUUCAGUAUGUUCUGCUGAACAGAAGUUCAAUGUGCGAUUGAAUAAUUAUAUAAUUUCAUUUUCAUAGACACAUGAUUGUUCAUUGUAGAUCGCGCAAGAAACGCACCACUUGAUUGGCCAAUAAGGUUCAAGAUAAUCAAAGGAGUUGCAAGGGGACUUUUAUACCUCCAUAAUGAUUCAAGAUUGACAAUAGUUCAUAGGGAUCUCAAAGCUAGUAAUGUGUUACUAGAUGCAGAGAUGAGACCCAAGAUAGCUGACUUUGGUAUGGCAAGGAUCUUUGGUGAUAAUCAAGAAAAUGCUAAUACCAAGCGAGUUGUUGGGACAUAGUGAGUAGUAUUUAAUUCCCAAAUACUCAAAUUGCAUAUGAUUGAACCCAAAUCAUCUUCAUAAUUUUGCUAACGAAAUGAUCUUAAUAGUGGUUAUAUGGCUCCGGAGUAUGCAAUGGAGGGCAUUUUCUCUGCAAAGUCUGAUGUCUAUAGCUUUGGUGUCCUACUUUUGGAGGUUGUGAGUGGUAUAAAGAUAAGCUCUGUUGAUCGUGUCCCAGGAUACCCAAACCUAAUAGUCUAUGUAAGCAAAUAUGGUUAGGUUUUAGUUUCUUCAUAUUAAAUGGUUUAAACUGUUCUAUUACACAAUCUAAUUUGUGUGAUGUGACUGUUUCAGGCGUGGAACCUUUGGAAGGAAGGGAAAGCAAAAGAUCUGGUAGACAAAUGUAUUGUUGAGAACUGUUUACUAGAUGAGGCUUCACUUUGCAUCCACAUGGGGCUCUUGUGUGUGCAGGAAAAUCCUGAUGAUAGGCCAUUGACGUCUUCUGUUGUGUUCAACUUGGAGAAUAGAUCCACAACACUACCAACGCCAAAUCACCCUGCAUAUUUUGUACAGAGAAAUAGUGAUAUGGAGCAAAUGAGAGAAGACAUUGUGAACUCUAAGAACACAAUGUCUCUUACAGUCAUGGAGGGGAGAUAGAGUAACUCUAAAAAGUAGUUUGGAGUUUGGAUUGGAAUGUGUAACAUAGUGACUUGAAACUUGGAUGUUAUUAAUCGAUUUUUUUCUAACUUUUGAAUCAAAAGCUGCAUAUCCAAAAUUUUGAAGUGAGAAGAAAAAGUAUGACUGUAGGAGCAAAUCUUCAGCUAGCAAAUCAAAUCACAAGAGUAAAGUUGUAUUUGCAAGAGUAAAUCAUCAUGUCAUAGUUCCCUAACUCGCACGGUGUGACAUUAAGCUUCCUAAAAUUGCAUCUAGGGAGUUAACAAAGUAAAAAUGCUAGUUUAGGGAGAGCUAUAUGCGAUAGUGCACAAAUUCAGGAAACUGCAACGCAACUUACUCAUUGGAAAGUUUCACUACGUAGAUUCUACAGCAGCCUAAAUUCAUUGAUGGCAGGAAUACAUUAGUAAUUUUAACUGAAGGCGGCAAUAUGGUUUAGCAUGACCUACAUUCUUCUGUAAUCUAUAGACGAAGUACUACAUCUUCACAAUUCUAGAUGCACCCAUGACGAGUGUAACAAGUCUUCACUAAAUGACAAGGUAACAACUCCUUCGAUGUGUACAUCUCAACUACCAACAUAUUUUGACUAGAAUGUUUGAAUUGAUUAUAGUCUAUUUGAAAUCUGGAAUUUUUGCAUUGUUGCGUGCAUAUCAAGUGUGUAGAGCUUACUUAUACAUACUGUUAGGAGUAAACCUAGGAUCUCUAGAUGUAGAAUUAGUCGGGAUUACGGGUAAACAUUGAGUUCAUGGGGUUCCAGUGUUAACCGAGAGGGAGAGAGAGAGAGAUGGGGUACCUUCACCCCUAGGGGUGGAAGCGGCAGAGCCGCCGGCCAUCGCUGGUUCUGUCGGUGAAGAUCUGCGCUAGGCAGCGACGCGCAGUGCCGUGGUUCGGUCGGUGAAGCUCUGCGCUAGGCAGCGAUGCGCAGUGUCAUAUUGUGUCGCCGGCGUGGCGGCGGUGGUGCUUCCAGUCACUGCUACGCCCCCAUGAUCGAUCGGUCUAGGAUUUUGUCAGUGGGGUGGAUGGCGGCGCGGUGAACCUCGUACCGUGCGCUCCGGCUCCCACCUCUGUUUUUAUAGCGCAGGUGACAGGGGCCCACCACCUAAUGCUAGGGUGGGCGCCCCCGAUCAGGGCGCGAGUCAAGGGCUCAAUGGGCCGUGGACCCAUUAGAGAGGAGAUCAAUCUAACACGUACUACCAAGUAGUAGCUUGUGCGCGUACCUUUUCUGUCUCUCUGAGUUUGGUGGCACUCAUGAGUUCCAUUUUGUUUUGUACCGUGGCUCUCCUCUUGCCGGCCUUUUGUGCUUCCGAUGACCGGCUUGUCCCAGGCAAGCCCCUUCUUCCCGGCACGACCAUCAAAUCUGGUGGUGGUAACUUCGCCUUUGGCUUCUUCUCCCUGUCCAAUUCCACUUCAGGAAAGCUAUACCUUGGCAUAUGGUACAACAAGAUCCCCCAGCUCACCGUGGUGUGGGUUGCUAAUCGGGCAACACCGGCCAUCUCCUCCUCAGGUCCUUCCCUUGUUCUGACCAACACCUCUGAUCCUAUCUUGUCCAAUGUUAUCGGCCGUGUUCUCUGGACAAUCAACACCAACACUGCUGCAGGCUCCUCACCAUCACUGAGAUCGAAUACUACUGGAUCGGUGGCGGUGCUUAUGAACAUAGGCAAUCUCAUCCUACGGUCACCUAGUGGCAUGGUGUUAUUCUCACAUCCUGAAAUUUUUGGAUUUCAGGAUGUGAUUAAAAAGAAUAAUUAAACAAUAAUUUUCUCAUAAUUUUAAAUUUUUUUCAACAUUUAUUUCCUUGUCAGGAAAUGUAGUAUAGGAAAAAUAAUUGGUGGUUUUUCUAAAUUAAAUAGUGUUGUUCUGUGUGUGUUGCAUUCAUACCGAUGCAUCUUGGUGUUUAUAGAGUGUAAAUGUUUUAAAAUGCAUUUAGACGACGACCAGAUUCUUCUGAGAAUUUUUUAGCUUUUUCUAAAAUUUAUUCUCAUUUUCCUAGGACCAAAUCUAUUUAUCAGAAGGCUCUACAAUCUUUUUCACGAGCUCCAAAUAUUAUAUUUGGACUCCUCGUGUCCCAGAAUUUUCAGACUAUUUUUCAUGGUUUAAAUGAUUUAUCUAGAAUUUUUUGAAUUUUUCUUUCACAAGAAAUUAUUUCUAAAAAUAAGCUAACUUCUCUAUCCUAUCGGGCCAAGCCCGUGGGCCCAACCCGCUCCGUUUCAGCUGCAAGCCUGCCCGACCCACUUGGGCCCAGCAGCCGCCGCAAUCUGCUGGCGUCCGCAGCGCCGCCGCCCUCGUUCCGCAGCCCAAUAAAGGGCGACGCCUCCUCCCCUGCGCGCCCAGCGACUACUCCCAUCGCCCGCCACCCUUCCUCGCAUGAGCAGCACCGCCGCCGCCCGAGCCGGAGUAGAGCCGAGCGCCGCCGAAGCUCGCCCGGUGUAUUCGCCACCUCCUUUGCCCACCAGACGAAGCUGGUGACUCUAGGAGCUCCAGGAGCUUCGGGACAUCGCCCCGCGCACCCGCCACCGUUCACCAUCCUCAUCUCGUCGCCGAAGAAGCUCGUCCACUUGAAGACCGGAGCCGCCGCCAUUUCCCGUCCGCCUUCGGUCAAAUUCUGGACGGAGCACCGUAUCCCGCCCAUCGGUGAGCACCCCUACAAGCUCCCCUCUACCUCCUCUACCCCUGCGCCACCUCGCUUGAGUCCCUAGCCGCCGGAGCGCCAGCAAGCCGAGGUUCCUGAGCUCCAUCCGCCAUAGACUCAAGCUUUUGUGAUUUGGCCCCUAGAAGAUCCUGUAAUCUUUAAUAGUCUUCCUGUGUCUUGACCAAUCCUCAGAAAACCCCCUACAUCUUUGGGAUCCUUGCAACCAAGUCCAACCCGAGCACUUUAACAAUCUAACCCCACCCUUUUCAGCCUUUUGCGAGCACUAUUUAUAAUGUCUUGUAAAACAUCUCAGCUAGCCCUCCAGAGCUCGCCCUCUCCAUCAUCCCCUCGCCGACCGGCUACUGGAGGAGCACGUUGCCGUCGUUGAGGCCCCCGACGGGUACGUCGGCGUGUUCGCGCAUGACUUCCACCACCCCGGCGGCAAAGCCGAUCUCCACUACUACACGAUCGUGCAGGACGCCGACGGGCCGUGGUGGUGGCUGGAGAACACGAUCCCGCUGUCGUGGCUGGCGGCGUACCACCGGCCGUUCUGCCUCCGGGGCACGGCCAACCGCCAACGGGUGCUUAAUCCUCGAGGUCAGCGAGGAGAAGCCGGCGUUCAUGGCGAGCUACCGCGUCAGGGACGCCGAGCUGUUCAAAAUCGACGUCAAAAGCUUCCAGCUGGAGAAGAUCUGCCAGGCACAGUGCGCCGGGUAGUGUUGCUGGCAGUACUUCGGCUUCCCGCCAUCGCUGUCCGCGCCCAGUGUAUGAGCAGCAUGGUGAUAUCGCUGAACAAAAUUAUUUUCCAGCUGGCUGCUCAUAGAGUUAGAGCCUUGAGUUUGUCUGGCAUAUAUAUAAUAAUGAUACAAGCAACAAUUUGUACUGAUCCAGUCUGUUCACAAUCCCAAUGCAUACAUACAGAUACAUCUUACAGGUACAAAGCAAAACAACAAUCUCAACAUUAUUCAGCUGUACAAACCCCACAAGCAGGGGUAAACAUUGCCCAAAACUUAUAGGUUACAGUCACAUCCAUGUCACUUGCUGUUUAUUAAGUUCCUCUUGCAUACUCUGUCUCAUUGCCAUGGAUUCUUAUUUCCACCAGUACUGCAGCUCCUAGCUUGCUGUUUAUUCAGAUCCUUUUGUAUACUCUGUCCCAUUGCCAUGGCCUCUUACUUCCACCGGUACCAUACCAGUGCGCUAAUACAGCAUCGCACCUUACACACAAACGAUGGCAACUUGUAAGAGGCAAAAGGAACCACGAAGAGCGACCGAGCCGGGUGCUCCUAGAUUGCUCUGUGUUUCUAUAUCUUCCACACCAUGUUCAUCGUUCUCUUUGUUCUCUUAAAGGACUGCUCGAGGUCAGCUAACCACAAGAUUUACCACAGCCUAACAAAGGAAGAGGAUGACCCAGUGCCUCGAAAAGACGGUCCAGGGUCUGCUGAGGAUGGUUCAUUGACUCCAGAACUAUUUCCAUAUGAUGAUGCAGUCGAGCUCACCAAGUCUGUUACAGCAGGUGCAAAACUCUCCACAAACAUGCCACAAGAUAUUAAAGUCUCGCCAGAAGGCAUGUUGAUGUACGAAACUGUACAAUCCUGAAGAUCUACGCAAAUGAGUCUGUUUUGGUUGCCAAAGAAGAUCUAGGUGCUUAUGAGAAGGUGGACAUGCUAGAAACAAUACUGGGAUUUUUUACCAAGCUUGAAGAAAACGGGAUUGCAAUUGGCCAAGAGCCCUCUCAGUUGCUUGUUGUGUGGUUCUGAAGGCUUGGUGUAGUUCAUGAAGUCGAACAGGUUCUGAAGGAGCUCUUAGAAGACAUGAAGACCAAGCAAACAGUUGCAGUAUCGGUGGAACAGAGGUUAUAUAGCACUAUGACACAUGAAUCGGGAAUAAGAAGAUAAUUAUUUUAGAGAGGGUAAAUACCCGUAGCAACGCACGGGCAAUUCUACUAGUAUAUAUACUAAUUGUGGUUACUAAAUGAAAACCUACUCACCAAUUUUCGGGUGCAGGAAGAAAAAUAAAUGCAGAAAACCACAAGAAGCUAAUGUAUAGGGGUUUAACAACUUCAGAAGAACUUCUAGAAGAAAACACUGCCCAUGAUUUUGAGCUUCCAUUUCUCAAAUUCCAAGAUAUUCUUGUCGCCACAAACAAUUUUUCCAAUAGAUUUAUGAUUGGGAAAGGAGGUUUUGGCAAAGUUUAUAAGGUAAUUAUUUAUGGAAGGUAUCUUUCUUUGCAUGUUCCAGUUUGAUUAUUCAAUCAAGUAUCUGCAUUACAUAUCACAACCUUACUUUUUUAAUAAUUACAAAGGUGACACUAGAAGGUGGUCAAGAGGUUGCUAUCAAAAGACUUAGUAGGGACUUGGACCAAGGAAUACAGGAGUUUAGAAAUGAAGUUGUUCUAAUUGCCAAACUACAACACAGAAACUUGGUUCGACUACUUGGGUGCUGUGUUGAGGGAGAUGAAAGGCUGCUAAAUUUAUGAGUACUUGCCCAAUAAAAGUUUGGAUAUUGUCCUUUUCAGUAUGUUCAAUUCAUACACUAAAUAGUUGAGGAGUUAUAUAUUUUCAUUUUUCAUAUACAUGACAUAUUUACCUUGUAGGUUGUGAAAGAAAUGCACCGCUUGAUUGGUGACAACCAGAAAAAUACAAAUACAAGACGAGUUGUUGGGACAUAGUAAAUACUAUUAAUCACAAGUUAAUAUGAAUAUAUAUGACUGUACCAAAUUCAUAUUUGUAAUUUUUGCAAAUGAAAUGUCUUUACCAGUGGUUACAUGGCUCCUGAGUAUGCAAUGGAGGGCAUUUUCUCCGUGAAGUUUGAUGUCUAUAGCUUUGGCGUGUUACUAUUGGAGGUUGUAAGUGGUAUAAAAAUAAGCUCUGUUGAUCGCAUCCCAAAUUACCCAAACCUAAUAGUCUAUGUAAGCAAAUAUUACUACUUCACAGAUUAAGGGUUUUAAAUGUUUAGUCUUAUACGAUCUCAGUGAGUGACAUGAUUGUUACAGGCGUGGAAUCUCUGGAAGGAGGGGAAGACAAGGGAUUUGGUCGACUUAUGUAUUGUUGAGAAUUGCUUACUAGAUGAAGCUUCACUUUGCAUCCAUAUGGGGCUUUUGUGUGUACAGUAAAAUCCUGAAGAUAGGCCAUUCAUGUCUUCAGUUGUGUUCAAUUUGGAGAAUGGAUGCACAACACUACCAGCGCCAAACCACCCUGCAUAUUUUGCACAAAGAAAUUGUGAUAUAGAGCAAAUGAGACAAGAUAUUAUUAACUCUAAGAACACAAUGACUAUUACAGUCAUAGAGGGAAGAUAGAUUAACUCAAAUUUUUAGUCAUAAAAUAUUUUCUAGGAUAAUUUUGUGAACAUAUUUUAGCUUUUAGUAUUAAUCUGGAAAUACAAUAUGCGGCUACCUUAUUGCUACUAGUAUAGUGCAAACGCUUUGUUUUGAAAACCAAAAGUAGCCUGGACGAAAUAAUCUUAAACGGAUAUAUGAAGCUCAAAACAUCCGAUUGGGAUGAUGCUCAUACGGAAAAGCAUAAGGUUUGUAAAACAGAACCUCUACCUAGUAUGGGGGCAGCCGGGCAGGGGAAAGGAUAUGAUAUUUGGGUAUCCAUUUUCACCCAACUUUUUUUUGGGGCUCUCGACAUCUUUGGAAGGUCAGGAUCAUACUGCUGUGCUCGUGUUUACAAUUGUAGCACCAUGUAUACACACUCUGUCUAUAGCAUAUAGUAGGGUGACUUGCAUCAAAUUAACGUACGUUUACUUAAACGUGGUACGUGUAGUUGGGUUUGGCCAGAAAGUCCACUGGCGGUUUUUUAGAUAGAGAAAAAAACAUUACAGCCUUCACACUCACGCGUGAGUGCAUAUAGCCAAUCGUUAGAAAUCAAGUAGUAGUACUUAGACUAGCUACAAAAUGCCACAUAAUAAAAAUGGUUCUAAACAAAGUAGAAAGAAGUGAAGGCUAGCUGAGGCUUAAUCCUAUUACUAAAUUUAAUUUUCUUCCUUUGCUUAUCUGUAAUGUGCGAGCCCUAUGCUUCACUGACAAGAUGAAAGUACGUCCGACUAGGCAAAACAACAACACGGUCUAUAGCUCACUUGUCUAAUCGGGGGCUCCAACUGGCGCCCAGGACAAAAGCCCAAAAUAAUCCGUCACCAAGCUCCUCCAGUGUCGUGUCACCAACUCUUCUUCAUGCGGUAAUCUCCGGUUAUUAUACUUGCCACCUUGCAUUGGGAGUUUUGGAUCAUGAGCUCGUCCGUAUAUAUGGACUCAUGCUGUGAUCAUGUCCGCUUGAAUCAACGAGGAUUUCCCCGUGCCGGCCGCCGUUCCCCCAACGACUACGUCGUCGUCGCCGCAGCCUAAUCCGGAUAGAGGCGAGGCAUCAGCAGCACCAACAGGGACUUCUGCCUGGGUCCAUUUUCUUGUCAGCGUGUUCUACGUAGAAGCUCAAACUCACCUACUGAUGCUUCAGUCCAUGUAUGGAAUUCUAGCGCCGGUGGCUCGUGACGCCUCGAAGGCUACAUUUCUUAACAAAGGAAAGAAGUCUCCUUUUGGUCUCAAGUAGCCCAAUAUAAAAGUAUUCUUUUGAUGAUCUGGACAUUUGCACUUCACACACAUACAAAAAUAUCGGUGAACAAGUCAUUCCAAGGGAGUGUUGUGGGGACGUUCUGCCCAAAUGGCAGAGAAAUCGUCCAUAUAUGCUGGUGAAAGAAAAUGUUGUGGCAAAAAAAAAAUUGUUUGCUCACUGCGAGAGCCUCACAAGAAAGAUAUUCAAGCUUAGGGAAAAACAGGACAGGAGGAGAGAAACGCAAUAUGUGUGGGAGUGUAAGUAUCAGGAGCGCCUUUCUCGAAGAACCCGGAUGGGUAUUUAUACUGUUUCCAGCGAUGGAUUAUUGCCACCUUGCAUUAUUAUGAGUACUAGUCUAUCAACCCGUGCUCCCGCACGGGCUAAUAUUUUUUUAGAAACUAUUAUAUUUAAAAAUUAUUUAGAAAUUAAACUUCUAGCUAAUAAUCAAAAUUGUUUACCUACUGCUAACUUAUUUUUCAAUACUUCAACAUAAUACUUAUAUAGAUAUGUAUCUAUCUUUGUCCAGUUGUGAUUGAUUUUUAAUUAAUAAUUACUCAAUGCACUUUUUCAUCCAUAUUCAUAUUUUUUCAUUUUGUAUCACACCUCCAAUCCUCCAUACAUUAUGUUUAGCAUACAAAUCAAUAUUUUUCAUCGAUUCCUCACAUACAUGUAUAAAUAGUCUAAAUGGUGGCACUCAUCAUGUGUAUAUACUUUAACUUAGUAUUUUUAUAUUAACAAUGAUAUAAAUACGUAAUUUAAAAUCAUAUAUUAAUUUACCUUUUAACAUUUCUGUAUGAUGCACAUGAAGAUAAUUAGAUUAAGAUUUAAAUGUUUACUUUAGGUUAUUUUUAAUAACGACAUACGUGGAUAACAUAGAUAAAAUUUUAGAAUGACAUUUUAAGUUAUGCUUUAUAAUGAUGUGUAUUAGUAAAUUGGAUUAAGGUUAUGGGGUUACUUUAGAUUAUUUUUUAUAAUAGCUUAGCUCGCUAAUUGAAAAAUAGGUUUAGAGCUCAUUUUUGAAUAUUUUCACAAUAAUAGUGGUGGGUAAUGUUUUAGAAAAUAUAAUAGAUCAAUGGCUAUGAUUAUUAGAGUUUACAGGAUUGAUGUUUGACGUUUUUAAUUUUUAUGAGAAUUUGUCUCAUGGGAACUAAUGUGAAGCCUCCAAUGGAAAAAAAUGAGACUACAUUGCUAAAAAACUAUUACCAUAAGCUAGCUCUUGUUUGUUAAAUAUUCGAACACACAAUGCUUAUGUAGAUAUAUACUUAAUAUCUUCAUCCAAUCGUGAUAAAUUUUAGUUAGCAACUACUCUAUAAUAUUUUCAUCCACAUUUAUAAUCUUUAACUUUUCACUUUGCAUCGCAGGUAUGCGCUUGAAUUUGUUUAAUGAACCUUAAGUUUAAGAUACAAUUUUAGCAUAGGAAUCUAUAUUCUCAUCACUUUAUAUCCUUAUAAAUGGUGACACACAUCAUGCGUAUAGACCUUAAUUAUUAUAUCGUAUACCAAUAGUGCAAGAUAUAGACGAUUUAGAAUCAUAUAUUGCUGUAUAUUUUUAAUUAAGGUUAUAUGAUUCAAACGUAGAGUUACCUCAUGUUAUUUUUAAUAAUAGCAUGUGUGGGUAAUAUAGAUGCAAAUUUUAAGGGAUUUAAAUUUUUUAAGUAAUAGUGGUAGGCAAUUCAGUUGCAAAUUAGGGGGUUAUUUUAAAUAUUGUUUAUAAUGGUAUAAGUGGGUAAUUUUGAUGAAGAUUAGGGGGUUACUUUAGUUUAUUUUAUAUAAUGGCAGAGGUGGGUAAUUUAUAUAUAGAUUUAGGGGGUUACUUUAGACUAUUUUCAUAAUGGUAUAGGUGGGUAAUUUUUUAGAAAACAUAAUAGAUCCAAUGGCUACGAUGAUUUGAAUAUAUCGAUUAAUGGUCAGAUGUUUUGCUUUUUUGUGAGAAUUUUUAGGAUUUCUCUUUUUUUCUAGAGUAUCCACCUAGGAAUCCUAGAUGGCUUCACCUGGAGGUUUCAAAAGGAACCUCCAAUUAGUAAUAGUAAGAUAGAGACGUAAUGCUACUGCACGAAUUUAGGAAGCUACAAUGCAACUUACUCGCUGGAAAGUUUGACCACGCAAAUUCUACUGCGGCCUAAAUUCGUUGAUGGCGAGAAUACAUUAGUAAACUCUGAUUGAAGGUGAACAAUGUGGUUUCGGGCGACCUACAUCCUUAUAUAGGCAAAGCACAUACUAAUUCUAGAAGCAUGCACUCUUAACGUCAAGGUAAAACAAUCCUUUUCUCCAAGAAAAAUAACACCACGGUAACAACCCUAUCGAUCGAGGUGCGUACAACUCUCAACUACGACUAACAGAUUCUGACUAGAAUGUUUGAACUCGUUUUAGCUAGCGUACAUCAGAAACCUGGAAAUUUUGCAUUGUUGCGUGCACACCAAGCGUGUAGGAGCAUAUACUAUAUACCACGACAAGUAGCCCGCUUCCGCGCCUGCAUUCUCUACCGCUUUGAGGCAUAAACUAGCUAGCUAGUAAACGCACUCAGAGAGCCAGAGACGCCGCAGCAAGUCCAAUGGCAUUCAUGAGUUCCAUUUCGGUUUGCACCAUGGCUCUCCUCCUCUUGGCGGCCCUGUGUGCUUCGGAUGACCGGCUUGUCCCAGGCAAGCCGCUCUUGCCCGGCACCACCAUCGUAUCUGAUGGCGGUGACUUCGCCUUUGGCUUCUUCUCCCCAUCCAAUUCCACUCCGGAGAAGCUAUACCUUGGCAUAUGGUACAACAAGAUCCCCCGGCUCACCGUGGUGUGGGUUGCUAAUCGGGCAACACCGGCCAUCUCCUCCUCAGCUCCUUCUCUUGUUCUGACCAACACCUCUCAUCUUGUCUUGUCCGAUGUCAAAGGCCGUGUUCUCUGGACAACCAACACCACCAAAGCUGCAAGCUCCUCACCAUUGCCAAGAUCAAAUGCUACUGGUGGAUCAGUGGCAGUUCUUAUUGAUACAGGCAAUCUCAUCCUACGGUCACCGAGCGGCAUGGUGUUAUGGCAGAGCUUUGACCACCCGACUGACACGAUGCUCCCUGGCAUGAAUAUAAGGUACCACAAGACACAUGAAGUAAACCGCCUUUUUUCUUGGAACGGCCCUGACGACCCCUCGCCGGGUGCCUUCUCCAUUGGCACAAAGACAGAAACGUUCAUCCAGGUCUUCAUCUGGAACGGUUCGCUCCCAGAAUGGCGCGGCGCAGUAUGGACGGGUGCCACAGUCACCAGCCAGCAGUUCUUUCAGGUGAACACCACUAAUGUUGUAUACACAGCAUUUGUUGACAGCAUCGAUGAGAUGUCCAUGGUCUUCACCGUCUCUGAUGGUGCACCUCCCUUACGGUCAGUUAUGAGCUACUCUGGUCGGUUAGAAGUUAGUGUUUGGAAUAGGGAUUCGUCGGAGUGGGCAAUGCUUUUAGUGUGGCCGGAGUACGAGUGUAGAAAGUACGGCUACUGCGGGCUCUCUGGAUACUGCGACCACACAGAUGCCACCCCAACUUGCAAGUGCCUUGACGGGUUCGAGCCUGUGGACAAGGAAGAAUGGAGCAGCGCCAGGUUCUCGCGGGGAUGCAAACGAAAGGAGGUGCUUCGAUGCAGUGAUGGUUUCUUGGCGCUGCCCGGUAUGAAUGUGCCCGACAACUUUGUGCGCAUUGGGAGGAAGACCAUCAAGGAAUGCGCGGCUGAGUGCAGUGGCAAUUGCUCUUGUGUGGCGUACGCUUAUGCAAAUUUAAAUGGCAGCACAUUAGAUGGUGAUGCGACGAGGUGCCUUUUGUGGAUUGGUGAUCAUCAGCUUGUCGACACACAGAAGAUGCAGGGUGUGCGUCCCUAUAAUGCAGCUGGUGCUGAUAGUCAAGGAGAGACGCUAUAUCUCCGAGUUGCAGGCUUGUCAGGUACCAUUUCAUAUCAUAAGACCUUCUAUCAGAACCAAGUGUUCGCCUAUAAGUGUCAUUCCCACUGUGGCAUGUGGUCUCCCUAUCAGGAGCUAUAUGUUUUUGAUCAGAACAUGACUUGGCAGGCCACUGUUGUUCAUUUACCAGGUCUUAACAGUAGGCACCGAGAUCAUUGAAAAUCAUAUAGGACAGUGGCAACUAAUUUUAGAAUCUGAGCAGAUCCUAGAAUCGAAUGAUAAUCAUAAUGUAUGGCUACAUGCAUAUUGUAGUCAAUAUAUGUGUAGCAAAAAUAGAUACUGAACUGAGAUUUACAUUUUUAUUUCUUUCUCAGUGAUCUAAUUUGGCAUACAACAUCAAGGCAAGUUGUGGUCCUAAAAUUAAUAGUCACUUUUGUCCAUGCAUUGUAAGAAUGCCGCGCCUGUCCGGCUGUUAGCUCAUGUAAAUCUCACUCUUACUACCAAUUUUAGUCAUAUAUAUGGCAUGAACUUGACUCUAAGUUUUACACUGGUUUGCAGGUGAACGGACAAAAGCAAAUGCAGUAAAGAUUAUUCUAUCAGCUUUAGCGAGUGUUAUUGUUCUCACUUCCAUUAUACUUAUAUGGAUCUGCAAGUUCAGAGGUAAGUUAUCUUAAUAUGUAUACUGAUCAUGGUUACUAAAAGAAAAACUACUCACCGGAUUUUGGGUGCAGGAAGGAAAAGAAAUGUGGAAAACCACAAGAAGCUAAUGCAUAAGGGUUUAAAUACUUCAGAAGAAAUUCUAGAAGAAAACACCACCCAUGAUUUUGAACUCCCAUUUCUCAAAUUUCAAGAUAUUCUUUGCUCCACAAACAAUUUUUCCAAUACAUUUAUGAUUGGACAAGGAGGUUUUGGCAAAGUUUAUAAGGUAAUUAUUUAUGGAAGGUCUCUUUAUUCAAUCAAGUAUCUGCAUUACAUAUCACAAUCUUACCUUUUUUUUAAUAAUUACAAAGGUGACACUAGAGGGUGGUCAAGAGGUUGCUAUCAAAAGACUUAGUAGGGACUCGGACCAAGGAAUACAGGAGUUUAGAAAUGAAGUUGUUCUAAUUGCCAAUCUACAUCACAGAAACUUGGUUCGACUUCUUGGGUGCUGUGUUGAGGGAGAUGAAAGGCUGCUGAUUUAUGAGUACUUGCCCAACAAAAGCUUGGAUGCCGUCAUUUUCAGUAUGCUCAAUUCAUAUAUAUAGUAGAAUAAUUCUAUGUUUUCAUUUUUCAUAUACAUGACAUAGUUAUUCCUUGUAGACUGUGAAAGAAAUGCAAAGCUUGAUUGGCCAAUAAGGUUCAAGAUUAUCAAAGGAGUUGCCAGGGGACUACUUUACCUCCAUCAUGAUUCAAGACUGACAAUAGUUCAUAGAGAUCUCAAAUCUAGUAAUGUUUUGCUAGAUGCAGAGAUGAGACCUAAGAUAGCAGACUUUGGUAUGGCAAGGAUGUUUGGUGACAACCAGGAAAAUGCAAAUACAAGAAGAGUUGUUGGGACAUAGUAAGUACUAUUCAUCACAAAUUAACAUAUGAGUAUAUAUGACCACCAAAUUCAUAUUCCUAAUUUUUGAAAAUGAAUGUCUUUACCAGUGGUUACAUGGCUCCUGAGUAUGCAAUGGAGGGUAUUUUCUCAGUGAAGUCUGAUGUCUAUAGCUUUGGCGUGUUACUAUUGGAGGUUGUAAGUGGUAUAAAGAUAAGCUCUGUUGAUCGCAUCCCAAAUUACCCAAACCUAAUAGUCUAUGUAAGCAAAUAUUACUACUUGCAGAGUAAGGGUUUUAAGUGUUUAGUAUUAUUCGAUCUCAAUGAGUGACAUGAUUGUUUCAGGCGUGGAACCUCUGGAAGGAAGGCAAAGCAAGAGAUUUGGUAGACAAAUGUAUAGUUGAGAACUGCUUGCUAGAUGAAGCAUCACUUUGCAUCCAUAUGGGGCUUUUGUGUGUACAGGAAAAACCUGAAGAUAGGCCAUUCAUGUCUUCUGUUGUGUUCAAUUUGGAGAAUGGGUGCCCAACACUACCAGCGCCAAAUCACCCUGCAUAUUUUGCACAAAGAAAUUGUGAUAUGGUGCAAAUGAGAGAAGAUAUUAUGAACUCUAUGAACACAGUGACUCUUACAGCAAUAGAGGGGAGAUAGAUUAACCCUUAAAUUUUUAGUCAUAAAAUAUUUGUUUAGGUCAAUUCUAUGAACUUAUAAUUUGCUUUUUUUUAGUACUAAUCUUGAAAUACAGUGUGCUGCUACCUUUUCCCUACUAGUAUGGUACAAAAGCUUUGUUUGGAAACCAGAAGUAGCCUGAAUGAAAUAAUAUUAAACAGAUACAUGCAGCUCAAAACAUCCCGUUGAGAUGAUACUGAUAAAGAAAGCGUAAGGUUUGUAAAACAGAACCUUUACCUAGUAUAAUGGCAGCCUGGCAGGGGAUAGGAUUGUUGCUUGCCAUUGAGCCGAGGUCAUCAUCGUUCACCAGCAGAAGCAAUCGCAUAACCCGCUAUCGCUUGCCGGCACGCAGGGACAAGAGACCGGUGGUGUGAAACUGUGAACUGGUGCAGCCAGUGGAUGCAGAGCGCGGGAAUGGGUGCGGCGUAGGCAUUCUGUCGAACAGGUGGAAGGCUUUCCGCGAGCACGCAGGCGAGGCGGAAGACUAGCCGAAGCCACCGAUGAUGAGAAAGUGGGCAGUUGGGCACGCAGCUUGAUAUCGGUCGCUCACACUUUCGUCUCCUCUGCAUUGGCGUCCGGCUGGCGAAGGCGGAACCUGGGAUCUCAGGGAGACUCAGGGUUGUCGCCUUGUCGGACUCCGAGACUCGGACAUAGGAGGACGACGCGCGCUGCGGGAGAAAUUCAAGCGAGCGCUCCCAAUUCCCAAAUUUGAGCUGCAACUUGCAAGCGUACGCCAGCCCAACCCAAAGAAACUAAUUUUAGACCCAUGAAGAUUAAGGCCCACCAAGCCUACAAGGAAAAGAGAAGAAAGCCCACGAAGCCCAUCAGCACCGAAAGAGAAGAAAAGCUUGAUGAGUCCAGAAAUUCCGUGGGGUGCAAGUUUUUUUCGACAACCCGUCUGGCGCAAGUUAGCCCAACAUUAAGCGGACCCCACGUGCCAGCGACACAUCUAGAAAGCAGCCCACUUGUCUAAUCUGACUCCACCUCGCCGGCCUGCCCAAUCCCUUCCAUCUCCAAACCGGAAAAAAACCCACAGAACCGUAGCCUCCCUACCUCUGUCCUGCUCGCUCCGCCGUCCAUCCACUCUACUGUCGGCGGCGGAGAGAAGACCCAACCCGCCGGCUUGAUCUGAGCCAUGGACAAGGUAAGCAAGAGGGCGCCGAUCGAGCAACCCGUCCUUCCCCUCAUGCUCGCCAGCUCGCGGGGGGAUCUCUUCUCUCUGUUUGUGAGACUGAUUUGGGUGUGGUUUUGUGCAGCAGCCCGGGGCGCAGGGGGCGGAGAAGGUGCCGGAGGAGAAGGUUCGUAUACUCACUUACCUCCCCUUCGUCCGCACAGAUAGGGCUAGCUUGCGAUUUUGCUUCCAUCAAGUGGCGUGGGAUGUAUGAGCAUUAUAUAUAAAUUGAAUUGCAUUUUGGCCGCAAGCUCUUUUCUGCAUGACUGCUUUGCCUAGAUCGUGUUCCCGAAAUUGUAACAUAUUAUCCUCUGAAACAGUUGUUUGUUCUCUGAGAUGUCUGAAUCAGCAGUUUGUUUUGAGCAGCUGCUUAAUGCAUACUAGCAUAUGUUUGUAUGAAGUAGCAAUUUGUGUACCUUCGGUAGUAUAAUGCUCCUUCCCCUAAGGGGGUACAUGGCUGAUGGCUCCUUUGUGCAAUCAGAACUGCAUUUUUUUGGGGGGGUUUAGUUAGCAAGUAUUUCUAGUCAGUACUCACUCCUUUUUUUUGUUCAUCCAGCAACUUGAUGAGAAAGAGUUAGAAAGGAAGCUGAAAAAAGAUCAAAAGGUAUCAAUCAAGUUCUGUCUUGCUUUGCUCUCUAUACUUAAUUUUUGUAUUGGUCGUAAUUGGAUGGCCUGAAAAUGGUAAUUAGAUCAAGUUUAACAGACAAAAGUGAUUUCACUGAAGUCAGAAAUGAGCUGAACUAUAAGAUUGGACUGUUCUGUUAUCAUGUGCGUGGAUAGUCAUUUAUGGGUUAAAUGUUGCACUUGCAGGCAAAAGAGAAAGAAGAAAAAAAACUUAAGGCGAAACAAAAGGAGGCAGCUAGGCUCCAGGUUCAAUUAUAAUGCUCACUAAUCUGUAUAUGACUGAACAGAUGAUCCAGACAUCGAAUAAGUGAAAUGCUUGUUGGAUAUGACAUAGGCACAAGCAGCCUAAGAUGGAACAAAGAAGACUGAGAAAAAACAAAGGAAGAAAGCUACGGAGGAUGAAAAUCCAGAGAAUUUCAUUGAUCCAGACACUCCUAAUGGCGGGAAGAAAUUGCUUGCGCCUCAGAUGGCCAAGCAAUACAGUCCAAGUGCCGUUGAGAAAUCGUAAGAUGCCUGAAUAGUUUUUUACAUUUUUUGAUUUUAUAAUUUCUAGCACUGUAAAUGUAUAUUUCAACCACAUGGUUUCUUUAUUUGUAUGCAGAUGGUAUGCCUGGUGGGAAUCAUCAGGAUAUUUUGGGGCAGAUUCUGCAAGCACAAAACCACCAUUUGUUAUAGUAAGUGAUUUAUGCUCUUGAAGGUUGUGCACAAUAAGAUCGAAGCUAAUUUAGCAUACUGCACCAUUUUACAUCACUGUAGUGCUUUUUACAUUGUCAAAUAGUGGGUUAGCUUCCAACAAAUAGUUGUCAUUUCUUUUCAGGUUCUGCCACCGCCUAACGUGACUGGAGCUCUUCACAUAGGCCAUGCGCUUACAGUGGCUAUAGAGGUAUUCCUAUUUUUAAGAGAUCUAUAUGCCAUGUUAACACUAGACAUUGACUAUACGAUGCUUUUAUUCUCAUUCAGGAUGCUAUAUAUGAUACGGUGGCGUAGGAUGUCAGGUUACAAUGCACUAUGGGUCCCUGGAGUGGACCAUGCUGGCAUUGCUACACAGGUCUGCAUUUAGGAAUUCAUUAAUCUUCUGGAGUUUAUAUGAUGAAUCAUACAAUACAAAUUUAGAUGAUAGAAUUUUGUUGCUGAUAUAUUAUUUUGGCUGCAUAUAUUGUCAUUCAAGUUGUGGAACAAACAUGCAGAGACACAUGCUGGCAGUGCUAGUUAACAAUGUGCAGACAUUAAAAGAACUCCGUCAGCAUGGGUGUUGGGGACAUAUUAAUGAAAUCUACUUAUGCAAUUUUACUGAAACAUUUUUCAAAAUAAUGUUUUGAAUCCCAUUUCCUACUUUUGGAUUUUAACUGUUUAGCAAUUGUUCAUCCAUUAAGUGCAUAAUUACAUAGCUUUUUUGUUGCUUCUAUACCCUUGAGCAAAUUAACAUUGUAUGAUUUUGGCCAAAUGUGAUUGUUUUGUGUUUGCUCAUUUCCACUUGUAUUAUUUCUGUGAUUUAACUUGGCAUUUGUAGUUCAACUUCUUAUUUGGACUUGACAAUGAGUACUUCAAUGUUUUGUACUCGCUUCAUUUUGACAUGGAAAAAGCUAUCGCACGCGUGGUCGCGCUGGUGUCAAGCGUUGGAUCGUGGCUCGUGCAUGAGCUGUUGGAUCGUGGGCUUAUUAAGAUGGGCUUUAACUAACUGGAGGUACAUUUAUAGGCUACUUAAAUAACUAGGCUAAUUAGGCAAAAGCUAACGUGUGCGGAUCGUGUGGGGUGAAGUGGAUUGUACAGCCCAAGUGUUUAUUAUUAUGUUUGAACUUUUAAAAAUAUGAUAAUUUUCAUAUGGAGUAUCCGUUUUCAAAUCCGAUUGCGCCAGCGUGUUAGUUACGAUGAGAUCUAUGAAACAAGAUCUAUGAUGCAUAUGUUUUAGAUUAAUUUUAUGUAGUGGUAACUUAUAUUGUGGUAUAGUAGGUGCUUCUAUAUCAAGUUUGUAGCAACUUAUGUUCAAAGCUCCAAACAAACUUUACAUAUAAGUUGCUACACAGAUAAUUUUGAACCUUAUGCCAUUACCUAUAUGAAGUAUCUACAUAAGUUGCCACAUUGUCUUUAUUUGAGUUGUUAUUUUAGCUGCGCAUAAGUUGUGUACACAACUUUUACCUAAGUUGUUACAUUUGUCUCUAUAUAAAUUAAUUUGCUCCUCGACAUUAGAAAUGCAAUAUAAGUUGCUACGUAGUUCAUGCAAUAUAAGUUUCUAGAGUUUUGGUUUUAGAUCUAGUUUUUUAGGAUUUUAAUUUUUGGUUUAGGAUUUUAGGGUUUGCAUUUAAUGUGUAGAUUGUCUAUUGUCUUUAUUGAGGUGAUACAUUAUCUUUAUCUAAGUAGAUCGUACAACUACUGGAAGAACUGUGGUGAUAUAAAUUGAUACAUAGUGUCUACAUAAGUUAAUACAUAGCCUAGUACAGUACUACUAUUUUUAUACAAGUUGAUACACAAACUCUACACAAGUUGAUACAAUCUCUAUAUAAGUUGAUAGUACCGUUAUAUAUAAGUUGCAAGCUCAAGUAAAUUUACUUCAAAACCUAUGGAAUAUGGGUCUUAUUUUGUAGAUUAUAUCGCAAGGAACACAACUGUGAAAACGGAUUAAAAAAUGGACUCUUAAUGAGUGAGUUAUCAUCAUUCAAAAAAAAUGGAACAAAAUAAAACACGAUGGUAGUCUCCAUGACUCCACCUAACCGUCCUGCAUGGCAAUUAAGAAAAGUAUGCGGAAGCAUGCGGUUGUUGUGUUGUUUCACACGGACACCAUUAGACGGAUAAAGGGGUCGCGCGCUCACCCUCUGCGCGACCAAUGGCGCGUUAACGAGCUCCUUUUGACAUCUGCUCUCGUGUAUAUCAGGUUGUUGUAGAAAAGAAGCUUAUGCGUGAAAGGAAGCUAACAAGGCAUGACAUAGGGCGCGAAAAUUUUGUUUCUGAAGUAAGCACUUUUUCCCAUGAUUAUGUUUUGUUGGCCAAUUGAUCAUCUGUUUCCAUUAUAUUACUUAGUGUCAUAUGUUCUGAAAUGAAAGUGUUGUCUAUUUUGUUCGAAUACUUAAUCCUGCACCUGAUGUAUCAUUUUUGUGUUCACUUCACUUAGUCCAUUUUUUAAAUCUUCUUACAAACAGGUGCUCAAAUGGAAAGAUCAAUAUGGUGGUACCAUAUUGAAUCAAUUGCGCUGGCUUGGGGCCUCACUUGAUUGGUCCCGUGAGGUAACAUACCUAUUCUAUUCAGUUAGGAAAAAACAUGGCAUGUGGUUGAACCAUGCAUAUUAACUUCAUUUCAAACUGGACACCAGGCUUUUACAAUGGAUGAGCAAAGAUCAAAAGCUGUAACUGAGCUUUUGUAAGGUUACACAAGGAAGGCCUGAUAUAUAGGUUAGUUCCCUCACACUUUUUGUUCGAGUGUAAGUGUUAAAAUGAAAAAGAGAAUCCACUAUCAAUUGUGCUUUAUUGUUGACCUACACUCCUGUUUUUCAAUUGCCAACCUUGUUUGAAUGGAUAUUCCUUUUCAGAGACUAUCGCCUUGUGAAUUGGAAUUGCACAUUUCAAACUGCAAUCUCUGAUAUCGAGGUUAAUGGAUCUUUAUAUUGUUUAUGAUAUGUUAGAUAUUGUUAUCCUUUGUGUGCUUGAUUAAGAUAAUUUUCUUAGAUUGAAAAUGCUGAUUUGACAGGUUGAUCAUAUUGAUCUUAAAGAUGAAACUAUGCUAAAGGUCCCUGGUUAUGCCAAUGAGGUGCAGUUUGGUGUAUUGAUAUCUUUUGCCUAUCCUCUUGAGGAAGGACUGGGUGAGAUUGUUGUAGCAACCACCAGGAUCGAAACAAUGCUGGGCGAUACUGCAAUAGCUGUUCACCCCGAGGAUAAAAGGUAUAAGCAUCUGCAUGGAAGGUAUGCAGUCCACCCCUUCAAUGGCCGAAAACUCAAAAUAAUCUGCGAUGCUGAGUUAGUCGAUCCCACUUUUGGUACUGGGGCUGUCAAGGUAAGAGCUGCUGAGGGUUACUUUUUUCCAAUCUUAUCUACUUGGACCUUCCUCAUAUUCUUAGAUGGUAUUGUUUGCUGGUUUUUUAUGCAGAUUACACCUGCCCAUGAUCCAAAUGACUUGGAGGUUGGAAAACAGCAUAACCUAGACUUCAUCAAUAUCUUCACUGAUGAUGGAAAAAAUAAGCAGCAAUGGAGGUGCACAAUUUGAAGGAAUGCCAUGAUUCACUGCUCGAGUUGCCGUUAUUGAGGCGCUGAAGAAAAAAGUAUUACUGGAUUUUCUUAACUAUAUCCCCUCGAUAUCUGAUUAUCAAUCUUUUUUAUGAAUAUAUGAAUUACAAUAUGUGGCAUGGAAUGCAUGAUUUAACAGAGUGAAAAUGCAAAUAGUGAAAUAUCAUGGUCUUUGUAUCAUAACCAUGAUCUAUCUAUUUAUUUCCUAGUGUGUUGUACAAAGGGGGAAAAAAUCAGUAUAGUAAUACGGAGUCAUUACCAUGAUCUUCAGUUCAGUAUCAGUACUGGAAAUAGCUUAUCAGCAUCAGAUUGGGAUCGGCUAUCAAUAAUUAUGAUUUUUCUAGAAUUUCAUAAUUUACAGAUAUCCUUCAUACUGUGGAAAUUGUUGAUAGAUUACUUGAUAGGUCUUUGGCUUCUUGUUUUAUAUGAUGGAUUAACCUUUUUUUAUUCUUCUAAUUAAGGGUUUGUAUAAGGACACAAAGAAGAAUGAAAUGAGCUUGGGCAUCUGUUCAAGAACUAAUGAUGUAGUGGAACCUAUGAUAAAACCACAGUGGUUUGUUAAUUUCAACUCCAUGGCCAAGGCAGGCCUUGAUGCUGUGAGGUCCAAAAAAAGAUUGAGAUCAUUCCCCAGCAGUAUGAACAAGACUGGUACAGGUAUAUCAUACAAUGUGUCUCCUUUUGCACUCAUCAUGUCAAAUGAAUGACAUAAAUCUGAAAUAAAUUACACACCCAUUACUGCUGUCCUUCCAGGUGGCUUGAAAACAUACGUGAUUGGUGUGUUUCGAGGCAAUUUUGGUGGGAACAUCGUGUACCUGCAUGGUAUGUGAUACUAGAAGAUGACCAGGAUAAAACCCUUGGUUCUGAUAACGACCGUUGGAUAGUUGCAAGAAAUGAAAGCGAUGCAAACCUGGAGGCACAGAAAAAGUAUCCAGGAAAGAAAUUGUGGCUAGAUCAAGACCCUGACGUGCUGGACACAUGGUUUUCAUCUGGUCUCUUCCCCUUAACAGUACUUGGUUGGCUGUCCGAUACUGCUGACCUCCGUGCUUUCUACCCUACUUCGGUACUAGAAACUGGACUUGAUAUUCUCUUCUUUUGGGUAGUAAGGAUGGUGAUAAUGGGUCUGCAACUGGGUGGUGAUGUGCCAUUUCAGAAGGUAUAGCACAAAUUCCCGUUCAGUGCCAUUUAAACUAUCAUAUGAUUGUAGCGAUCUAGUCCAUACACUUUGUUCAUGAUAGAUACUCUAUUCAAAACCUAUCGCUGCCUUCUGUAUCCCCUUAAUGUGGUUAAAUCCUGUAACACUAUAAUCUGAUCAAGAAGAGACCCAUGCCUGUAAUGUUGUGGAUGUAUAAUCAAGUUACCAGAAGUUUGUUAACUAAAAUAUGGAACCCUCCCAUUUUAAAUCAUUCUCUACUGAUGUUCUCCGCCCUUUAUAUCUACAUAAAGGCCACACUGAUUUCCUUCCCAAUGAACUCUACCUUUUUAACGUUUACCAUAUAUUGCUCACAUGUUAGGUGAGACAUCAGCACAGUGGGGUGCCAUGGUUUAUUAAGUCCAUUCUAUAUUUCUUUAAUAGUAAAUCCAUAAAGCCACCAUCUUUCCUUUUGUUCGUGUCUGCAAGUUAUAUCUUUUUUUAUUUUUGAACUCAAUUAGCAAGCCAAACCAUAUACUGAGGCUACAGAAAUUUGGCACUACAUAUGGCAGUCAAGUAUAUUUCAUCUCUUGUCCAAUGAUCAAUGACCACAUGCCCUGUUCUCAGGUUUAUUUACACCCUAUGAUCCGUGACGCACACGGAAGAAAGAUGUCAAAAUCACUUGGUAACGUCGUUGAUCCUCUUGAGGUGAUAAAUGGCAUGUUACUGGAAGGUCUUCUGAAACGUUUGGAAGAAGGCAAUCUGGAUCCAAAUGAAUUAAACAUUGCCAAAGAAGGGAAGAAGAAAGAUUUUCCUGAUGGCAUAGCUGAAUGUGGUACCGAUGCCCUCCGCUUCGCACUGAUUGCUUACACUUCCCAGGUGAUUAUGGUGCCCAGAGAGUUUUUUCUGUGUUAUACAUGCAUUGAAGAUUUUAUUACAAUCUAUUUUGUUUCUUAGUCUGACAGGAUAAAUCUUGAUAUCAAGAGAGUAGUUGGAUACAGACAGUGGUGCAACAAAUUAUGGAAUGCCAUCCGUUUUGCGAUGGGCAAACUGGGUGAUCAUUACAUUCCACCUUCAACUGUUGAUGUAUCUUCGAUGCCACCAAUCUGCAAGUGGAUACUCUCAGUGCUUAACAAGGCCAUUGGCAAAACCGUUACCUCUUUAGAAGCAUACAAAUUAUCUGAUGCGACAUCUACUAUAUACUCUUGGUGGCAGUACCAUCUAUGUGAUGUAUUUAUAGAAGCUAUCAAACCUUACUUCUUCAGCGAUUCUCAAGAGUUUGAAUCAGCAAGAGCUGCCUCCAGAGAUACCCUGUGGAUAUGCCUGGAGACUGGUCUGCGCUUGCUCCACCCAUUCAUGCCUUAUGUAACAGAAGAGCUAUGGCAGCGUCUUCCACAGCCCAAAGAUUCUUGCAGGAAAGAUUCAAUUAUGAUUUCAGAAUAUCCAUCCCUUGUUGAGGUAAUACCUGUGUCCUAAAGAAGAUUCUGUAGGAAAAAUUCAAUUACGAUUUGAGGACAGAGUCUUUGAGUACUUGUUUACCCAUGGGAAAAUAUUGUUCUUUAUGACAGGGAUGGACUAAUGAUAGACUUGAAAAUCAAAUGGACAUUGUCUUGGAUGCCGUGAACAGAAUAAGGUCACUGAAGCCACCAACAGAUUCAAAUGAGAGGUAUGCACAUGACCAUCUGUUUUGUUUUGUAUUUGCUUGUUUGGUUCUUCAAUCUGCUUUUGCAAAAUAGAGUAAUAACUUAUUGAUAUUUUCUUGUUCUUUCUUUUUUUCAGACGACCUGCUUUUGCACUUUGCCGAGGCCAAGAGAUUGCUGCCACUAUCCAAUGCUAUCAAUCUCUAAUCGUGUCCCUUUCCUCCGUAUCACAUCUCAAGGUAUGACUGUUUUAUUUUUCAUUAUGGAAAUAUCUUUCCCCUUGCAUCAUUUACAAUCACUUUAUCCUGUAUGGACAUAAAACCUAAAUGGAGUUUUAUUCCCUCAAAUUGCUAUGGUUCUUGCCAAAUAACUGUUCUUCUUGGCUUUCUUCAGCUUUUCACAUUUAUAUGCUACCUACUUAUGAACAAAACUACAAAAGCACUGAUCUAUUGUUGGAAAUUCUUCAGAUCCUGACAGAGAACGAUGAAACUCCAGCUGACUGUGCAACUGCUGUUGUAAACAAAGACUUAUCUGUGUACCUUCAACUCCAAGGAGCUCUAGAUGCAGAUGCUGAACGUGAAAAGCUAAGGAAGAAAAAAGACGAAAUUCAAAAGUAAGUGUGCAUAUACUGUCUUCCCUAUCCAUUUUUACCGUCAAGACUCGCUUAAGUUCACUGUUGUAUGACAUCAGUAACAUGGUCUCUUGUGAUACACGCAGGCUGCAACAUGCGCUGUCACAGAAAAUGGACGCCUCUGGUUACCGCGAGAAGGCUCCACAGAAUGUGCAGGAAGAGGACAUGGGGAAGCUCACCGCCCUAUUGGAACAACUGGAGGUCAUCAGUGAAGCUGAGAAGAAAUUAGAUGCAAAUAUUUGAAAUAACUGAGUCUGUGGCCUGUGUUUCAAAGAUACUCUGCUUGUACCGAAGUUGAUCCCACAUCUUUUUUUUUGUUCAAAAAGCUCAGUUGUGUACCUGUACGUUCAAGUUUAUAAUUGAUGGCUCAGAUCAAAAUUGCAGUUGCAUUUUCCAGCGUGUAAGAAUUGUACUGACGGCCUAUACAGGACAGUAUUUUUUGGAUGUCCGAUAUUGGCAAACUCUUGGUGUUGAUGCAUGUGGCCACUCUGCCGGAAUAUGUUGUAGCUGUAUUGUUGUGGUUUCAGGUCCGCAAAGCCUCACGAGACUAUGCAACGGGUCCCUUGUGUAGCAUUUCUUCUGCGGCAAAAGUUGUGAAAUCAAAGCAAAAUCUGCAAGCCAAUGAUAGUCGUCGCCGGUGCGUCCUCCCGCCUGCUCCUCUUGUUCAUCUUCCUAGGCAGCAGCCGCCGAGGUAGGGGAGAGCUGCUUGGGGAAUCAAUGGCUGUCGGACUUUCGCAGUAAACGUGCAAACGUAGGGGCAACAGCGGCAGUAGUGGCUGCACACACACACACACACACACACACACACACACACACACACACACAUGCACGGGUCGCAGCCGUGCACCACCACCUGAUUGGUGCGGCGGCGCAGGGCUCAUGUCGCGGUCCGUGCCGCGCGUGCCGUUCCCAGGUUUUGUGUUCCUCGCCAUCCCCAGCUGGUCGUCGUCCCGACGAAGUCCCUGUCCGGCUCCAUCUCCUUAGCCCAGCGCCCCAGAGCUCGAGGGUCCCCGGCGACGACGGAUGGCGGUGGUCGUUGUUUCGUUUAACGACCGCCCCGUGCUCCUUUUCGUUUCUUCCCCAUGCCAUGGAGAUCACGAUCACAUCAGAGGGAGCCUGACCCAAAUAACAGCAUGGUACAAUAUUACUGUGGGGCUCUGCGCAGGCUGCAGCCGCACUCGCCGCCGCGCGCACCGGUGCUGCCCGGGUUCACGUCUCCCGUAGCGCGACCUACGCGGCCGCGCGCUCCCUGGACGACGCGUUCUUCAUCUCCGCCUCCCCCGACCGCGGCAGCGACGCGCUCCUCGUCCCCGCGCUAUCCCUGCCGGCCAAGAACGACGGCGCGACGCGGACGCCCAUGUGCGUGCACAAGGUGCCGUCGCGACGCCGCGCUCGUCGGGCCUGCACAGCGCGGGCUCGGAAUGGCGAAGUGGGUGCUCUUGCUGGCGGGGCAUGGAGGCGUGAGACCUGAGUCGUCAGGAGGACGGAGUCAGGGUCAGGCUCGCGGUGACCGGAGCCGGGGGAUGGCCAUGGCGAAGUCGUGCCCGCGGCGGCGGGUCAGACCUCUCCCUCACCUAGUCCGAUAAAUUCCUCCAUCUCCACCGUAGACUGUCCAUCCAACGGCACCAGGAGCCCGCAGCAUGGAGACUCCAAAAUUUUUCUUUUAACCCCCCAAAUGGAUCGCGACUAUUCGCGGUCCAAAAUAUUUAACCCUCUAAAAAUGGAUCUAAUGUUUUGCACUAGAACCUCCAGAAGGCUAAAACGUAUGGAUGUUUUGCAUCAAAGCCCCCCACCUCUGUUCGUCUUCCUAGCAAAAGACGGACCUCAAUGGGGGAUGGCGGUGGCGUCGCUUUUGCCCACGACGGUGUCCGUGUAAGGCACGUGAGGGUGCGUUUGGUUGAGCUUUCCAACCUGCUUUUGCUUUUGCUUUUGCAAAAGCCAACCAAAAAGUCUAAAAGCCAUAGAUGUUUUAGCCGAAAGCUGCUUUUAUUUUAGUACAAAAUCAAAAACGCUUUCCCCCUGCUUUCAGCUACUUUUGGGGAAAAAAUUACCUACCUACCACUGAUUAUGAAGAUACCGGUUCGUUUCCCUGUUUUAUUUCUCCGACUUCCGCACCAGUGCACCCAUCUGACUCCUCCCGCACAGGCGCACCCGUCCGCCUCUUCCCGUUGCCCCCGGCCGCCCGCCCCAGCCGCCCAUUGCUCGCCGCCCGCUGCACCCCGCCGCUCGCCGCCCCCAGCCGCCUGCCCCGCCCUGCCGCACCCCGCCGUCCCCGGCCUCCCGCCCCAGCCGCCCGCCGCACCCUACUGCCCGCCGCAGGCGAGAGCUCCACCGUGGAGUGGAGUGGCCAGUAGGAAGAAGAAGAAGGGACUAGUGAGCGGGACCCGCUCGUCAAUGAGAAUGAGAAAGGGAGAGUUGCGGCGAGAGCUCCACCGUGGAGUGGACUGGCCAGCAGGAAGAAGGAGGGACUAACGAGCGGGACCCGCUCGUCAAUGAGAAAGGGAGAGAGUUGAGUGGGGUGGACUGUGGAUGACAUGUAGGGUCCACUCGAUAGUUUAUUCAAAAGCUACAGCUACUCUAACCAAAACGGCCUUCUGCUUUUCCCAUAACUAGUUUUCUACAGUCCACAGCACAACCAAACACACCCUGAACCGCGGGUUCCCCAGCCACACCCUCCUAGCGGCUACCGCCUCCCCGUACUGGCGUACAAACACCGCUCCGCGGGCGCGCCACAUCCUGAGCCCAGCGAGCGGGCAGCCCUUCCGCGCCGCCGGCGAGGAAGUGGACGUGCCGGCUGCCCGGCUAGGGUGCAACUGGUGCGCGUGCGGAGACCAACAGAUUUGAAUAUGCUCUGAAGGCACUAGGGACCAGGUCUCCCGUCUCAAAGUUAUUGUACAGGGACGCAGCUGAAAAAAGGUUAGUGGUUGCUCUGUUGUCUUGUCUACCCUACCGUCCCUGAAGAACUGUCAUGGUCAUGGAGUUCUUGGAGGUCUCAACAUCACCUCCUUUUCCUUGCAGCUUAGAAUUUCUCUCUGCGAAGUACGCCGGCUGAUCGGGCGCCGGCAGUGACACGCUCCCGUUCUCCAGGAUGGACACGACAGAGGACAUGAGCGGCCUGCCGUUGGGGUCGUCCUGGACGCACAGGAGCCCGACGUGGAUGCAGAGCAAGAGUUCAUCCAACGCGCAGCUCUCCACGAUGGAUGCGUCUACCAGGUCACUUGCAUUCCCUUCCUUCCACAGCUUCCAUGCCUGAAAAAAGUAUCAAAUGAGUCCUCUAUUUCAUUUCUAAGAGAAAUGGUCACACAAAUCAUUCCAUGGUCUAUACUCCCAAGUGUUUCAGACAUACUGCACUGGCAAAUUCAGAUAUGUUUGUACUGUAUUCUUACAUAGGCUACAAGGCCCGGAGACCCCAUGAUGUCAUCAGUAGAGCUUAUCCUGACGCCACUUACAAUUUCCAGGACCAAUAUGCCAAAGCUAUAGACGUCAGACUUGACAGAAAAGACGCCCUCAGUUUGAUAUUCAGGAGCUAUGUAGCCACUAGUGAGAGCGAGACCAUCAGAAGUUCAGAGUCGUCAGACACAAACGAAGUCCAAUCAUAUGCAAAAUUCAGUUAUAGGACAAAAUUGAAGUACUACUCACAAUGUUCCGACAACUCGCUUAGUGUUUGCCUUUUGCUGGUUUUCGCCAAAUAUCUUGGCCAUACCGAAAUCUGCUAUUUUGGGUCUCAUCUCUGCAUCCAACAAGACAUUGCUUGCUUUAAGGUCCCUAUGUAUCACUGUCAGCCUUGAAUCUUGAUGGAGAUACAGAAGUCCCCUAGCCACGCCCUUGAUGAUCCCGAAUCUUGUCGGCCAAUCCAGCAGAGAUUUCCUUUCGCUGUCUGCAUUGAACAACAAUACCAUAUAUGGGGAUAAUGUAUGCUUCAAUGUGACAUUUUAGCAGCUUCAGUUAUGAUGAGUGGAACAUACCGAAAAGGAUAGCAUCUAGGCCUUUAUUGGCCAAGUACUCAUAUAUCAGCAACCUCUCAGCUCCCUCUGUGCAGCAACCGAGAAGCCGAACCAAGUUCCGGUGCUGGAGUUUGGAGAUCAAAAUAGCUUCAUUCUUGAAUUCCUCUAUCCCUUGUUCAGAAUCCUUGCUGAGCCUCUUGACAGCAACUACACGACCACCUAAAAAUGUCCCCUUCAGAAUUAUAGAACGAUAACUAAGUAUUGACUCUUGAGUACUAUAAUUCAAUUCAUGGAUUCAGAUGGAAAAGGAUAUGCUGCAGAACCUGAUAGUACCUUGUAAACUUUGCCAAAACCUCCGCGCCCGAUCAUACAUUCUCUCGAGAAGUUAUCUGUUGCCGCAACAAUAUCACUGAACUGUAUGGAAGGGAAUUCAAGAUCUUCACUGGGGUUUCCUUCUCCAAGUUCACUUGAAGCGCGCACACUGCCAGGCACCAGCUUCUUCUCACUUUCACUGCUUCUUCUCUUACCUGCAAAUUGGUGUUAAACAGCAUUUCUUUUGUGAUAACAUGUACCUCCUUCAUUCCUGUGUCUAAGGCUAAAACAACAAAUAUUGUGAGAGCAUACAGAUAAAAUACAAAAUAAAUACCUUUGGAUCUGCAUUUACAAAACCAAACAAGGACACUGCAUGUGACUAUCAAAACACUUGCCAACACUGGCAGUAAAAUUUUCAGAGUUUUUGUCCCUCUCUUUUUGCCUGCACAAAUACAGGUGAAUGCUUCGUGACAAUUGCAAGAAGAUGCUUUUGCUGCCGGUUGAAAAUUGAGACAUUGAUGCGGCAGGAACAGAAAAGAAAAGCGAACCUGUGAAUCCGGCAGGAACCCGGAGGUUAAGCGUCUCGGCGGUCACGCCCCAGAAGGCGCCGAUCAUCUGCGUGUCGACCAGCUCCCCGGUCCACACCAGGCACCGCGCGAUGUCCCCUUUGGCGCUGCUGCUGCGCAGGCUCGCGUACGCGUACGCCUCGCAGGCGCAGUCCCGGCGGCACGCUGCGGCGCACUCGUCGCCGGAGGUCAUGUUCCCGAGGAGCACGAACUUGUCCGGCACCUUCAUGCUGGGCAUCGCCAAGAACGCAUCCCCCUCACCGCCGCCGCCGCACGGUGCCAGGGCCUGGCUCCGGCGGCAGCCCCGCGAGAACACGCCGCGGCUCCACUCCGCUCGGCUAGCGGGCUCGAAGCCGUCGAGGCACCUGCACGUCGCCGCGGUCUGCGUGUGGUGGCAGUAGCCGUAGGCGCCGCAGCUGCCGUAGGGGCUGCACCCGCGGCCUGGCAAGGACUCGAGCGUGGUCCACGCCGACGCGUUGCGAUUCCAGCUCAGCAGCUGGAACUUGCCGGCGCCGGUCACCACGUACCGCGUCGGCGGGGCGCCUUCGUUGACGGAGAAGGUCGUGUAGAUCUCCUCCUCACCGUCUACGACCGCCACGUAGAUGACCGUGCCGGUGGCGGGGUGGUACCUGCUUACGGUUGGGUACCCCGUCCAGGGCGUGCCGCGCCAGUAGAUACGCGUCCCGUUCCACAGCAGCAGCUGGAGCGACGUGUUCGGGUCCAUGCCGUAGGAGAAGCUCCCCGGCGAGGGGUCGCCGGGGCCCUUCCACGACACGAUGCGCCAGCCGUCGACCCCGUCGUCGCGCGUGCGGCGGCGCAGCCCGACCUUCAUGCCCGGGAUGAACGUGUCCGUCGGGUGGUCGAAGCUCUGCCACAACGGCUUCGCGGCGUUCGGCGACAGGAUGACGAGGUUACCGUCAUUCUGAAGCACCGCCGCCGUCGAACCAGUUGCAGAACCCGAGCUCAUGGCGGCGGUGAUGUUCGCCGUCCAGACGACGCGGCCGCUGGCGUCGGCCAGGACGAGGCUGGAGGUGUCGUUGGCCAGCGCAAGCGACGGCGCGGCGGAAGAGUUGCCGCCGGAACCCUCGCCGAUGAUGACCGGCGCGUCCCGGUUGGCGACCCACACCACGGUGCUCGCGGUCACGGUGAUGUUGUUGUACCAUAUGCCGAGGUACUGCCUGCCCGGCGCGGCGUCAGAGGGGGCGAAGAAGCCGAGCACGAAGGCGCCGCCGUUGGACACGAUGGUCUCACCGGGCAACAGCGACUCCCCGCGGGUCAGCUUGUCGCCGGCCGGCGAGCACAGGCGCGGCAAGAGGAGGAGGACGGCGGCCGUGAUGCAGGUGGAAGUGGAACGUGACCACUCCAUGGUCGCACGUCAUUCGGUAUGGUACCAAAGAGACAGAGACCAGUAUGUUCGUGCAGAUGAAAUACUCCUAACCUCGAGGCUUGGGCUGCAAGUGACCGUGAUAGAAUUCUAGAUUUCUAGAGCUCCCUUGGACUAGUUUCAGCGUACGGAGUUUAAGAGAAGGUCGGAGCUUGACGCUUGGGGAGUUAGCGCCAGGAGGACGCUUGCCAUUGGUGUGCCUACAUGGACAUGGCGACGGUAGCGGCCGGCGGUGAUGUGAGCCAAGAAAUGAGUGGUACACUGACUAGUCAUCUCUGCGUGUGUCACAACGAAAUCGUCACCAACAACUGCGUUGAUUUCUGGAUGGAACUGGGGACGAUGCGGCGACCGAGUUGGGGUGGAAGUGGAACCACGGUUUCUGGUGUGCGUUGCUUAUUCAGACAGCGACGUAGAGUUCUGCAGUGCUCUUCAAAGCAUGAUCUUACCUGAAGAUCACGAAGCGUGGCCAGGAAAGAAAGAAAAAUAAACAGGUGGUCUCCAAAUCUGAGGUUGAGUUCUGCACUCACACUUGUGCCCGUGGUGGUUCUGAAAUGUUCAGCAUUGCUAGAAACAAGGACCAGUCUGCAUGUGUCACGCAAGAUCAAAUCUUAACCAACACCAACCACCACACACACUGGAUCAGAGUUCUGAUUGGAACGAAGCUGGCAUGAUGCUGCAAUCGGAUACAAAGUCAGUGUGGAAGCACGGUUCCUCGCGUGCCUUUAUCAUAUCCAAUAAUUGCUCUCAGCUCGUGCUGCUCGAUGAAUUUCUUCAUACAUGAACAAUCCUUCUGAAAACUUUGUAGGCAACGAAAUCCAGGUUCACCCAUUAUGUAAGAAAAAAAGAAUUGUCCUUCCAAUUAUCAUCACAAAGAGUAAAAAUGAAACACCAUUAGUCAACUCUAUUUGUUCAAAUUCAGUUCUUUCAUAUUCUUUUGUUUAUUAUGAUAGGAAAAACAUAAUAUCCUACAGCUGUUGAGAUUUCUAACAUAACCGAAAAUAAAAUUGAAAAUUAAGAGAAUGGCUUCCAAACCACAAAUGGUGAUGGAGCCUUAAGCAAUACUAUCUAUCUUGGGCAGUGUUUCCAAACAUCAUAAAAAGGUUAUCGUCCCUCUAUAUUUGUGAGAGUAAGGGAAUUCAUGGAAUUUUCAGUUCUGUCCCUAAUUUGCUCCAGAUCACUGCUCCUCUGUCCAUAGUGCCCAGGGUUGUUGGGUGCUGGCAGUGUGGUGCUUCCAUUCUCUAGAGUGAACACAACAGAUGACAUAAGUGGUCUAUCAUCUGGGUUUUCUUGAACGCACAAGAGUCCCACAUGACUGCAAAGCGAAACUUCAUCUAGCAAACAAGCAUCCGUAAUGGAUUGGUCUGCUAAAUCUCUCGUCUUCCCCUCCUUCCACAUGUUCCAAGCCUGAAACAAUCAAAACAAUUAUUUGGAUUUAUGGUAAGCGAGAACCUGAAGACUCUGAUUUUAAUCAGUUACAGCUCCAUAAAAGGCAUAUACUCACAUAGACUAUUAGGUUCGGAGAACCUAUAAUGCUACUAACAGAACUUCUCUUUAUACCAGUAACAAUCUCUAAGAGUAGAACACCAAAGCUAUAGACAUCGGACUUGAUGGAGAAGACGCCUUCCAUUGCAUACUCCGGAGCCAUAUAGCCACUGUUUGACCAUUUCACGUGCAGAUAUUAUUGAAUGAAAGCUGGAUUUAGUUAUGCUUUGUUUGAAAAAAAAUUAUAAAUAGUUACUCACUAUGUCCCAACAACACGAUGUGUGUUUGCAUCUUUCUGGUUAUCAUUGAAUAUCCUUGCCAUGCCAAAGUCUGCUAUCUUUGGUCUCAUGUCUGCAUCUAGCAAAACAUUAGCGGCUUUGAGAUCUCUAUGAAUUAUGGUCAAUCUUGAAUCUUGGUGGAGAUAGAGAAGUCCUCUUGCAACCCCUUUGAUUAUAUUGAAUCGUGUAGGCCAAUCCAACAUCUUCCUCGAAUUAUCUGCAUUGAAGAGAUUCAAGGUAACACAAUUUUUGGCUUUUAUGUGCUAUUUAUAAGAAUUUAUGGCGUGUCACAUACCAAAGAGGGUAGCAUCUAAGCUUCCAUUAGCCAAGUAUUCAUAAAUAAGGAUUUUCUCAUCAGCCUCAACACUGCAACCAAGAAGUCGAACCAAAUUUCUAUGUUGCAAUUUAGCAAUUAGAAUUACUUCAUUGCUAAAUUCCUUUGUUCCUUGCUCAGAAUCCUUGCUUAACCUUUUGAUGGCAACUUCUUUACCACCAAGCAUCGCCUUCAGGAAAAGUAAAGAGAAAAAUUAGAUUUGAGUUUAUCACACAGACAACUCAAUGUAAUUGGAGCACAUUAUUAUAAUUAACAAAAAUCAAUGUAAUUACAUGACCAGAACUAAUAAGAGGAAAUCACUGUCGAAUUAAGUAAUUACCUUAUAAACUUUGCCGAAACCCCCCUGCCCGAUCUUACAUGCCUCUGAGAAAUUGCGUGUUGCAGUCACAAUAUCCUCAAAUCUGACAGAGAGGAAUUCAAAGUCUUGGGCAAGGUUUCGUUCCCCAAGUUCAUCGGAUGUACUCAUGUCAUCCAAAGUUAGCUUCUUAUGCCUCGACCAAUGACUUAAUUUACCUGUUUUCUAAAUUCCAUAAGCAAUUGCUCCUUCGAAUAAUGAGAUAUAGACAAUGCAACUAUGUUGAGUUCUACCUUUGAACUUGAACCAUGCUAGGUAAAUGGCUGCGAGGAUCAAAAGGACACUUAUUAAAACUGCAGGGAGCACUGUCUUCAGUGUAUUGCUCUUCGCCCUCAUCGUGCCUGUGCUUUACAAGUUAGUGCAAAGUUUUAUGCUUUGCAAAUAGCACAACUGAUGAAAGCCUAAGGCCUAUUUUCCUUGCCACCAAAAAAAGAAGAAAUGGAGCAAAUUACAACAAUAACAACCAACAAGAAACACACGUUUUUUGGAAUCCACGAAUUUCACAUGGAAUCUUUUGAUUGUGUUUAAAACAAGAGGGGUUUUUGGCGGGCACACCUCGAAUACGCUUAGCGCUGAACAUUGAGCCUAUGUAUGCUUUGCUUCGUUUGGAAUAAAGCGGGGCAGACCAUUUCUCUAAAAAAACGAGAGGAGUUUCUAGGCUUCCAAAUGGGUUUUCAAAAUUUCGUCAAUGCUAGAUAAGAAGAUAAAGUCUGUGGCACACCUGCAUCGAAGCCUGCAAUCCGGAGGUACAGCGUGUCAGUGCCAUCCCCGUUACCUAUCUUCUCCGUGUCAAUCAGAUCGCCGGCCCACACCAAGCACCUCGUCACAUCCCCGUUCGUUCUGCUGGUGCUCAGAUUGGCAUAAGCAUAGGCCACGCACGAACAGUUCCUGGUGCACUCCGCUGCGCACUCCUGGAAUGUUCGAUUCUGGACGAGCACGAACUUGUCCGGCGAUUUCAUCCCCGGCAAGGCCAAGAAACCGUCACCGCACCGCAGCGCCUCCUUUCGCCGGCACCCCUGUGAGAACCUGCCGCCCUUCCAAUCUUCUAAGCUCGCCGGCUCAAAACCGUCGAGGCACUUGCACGUCGCGGGAAGCUCUAUGUAGUCGCAGUAGCCGUUCGGGCCACAGUAGCUGUAGCGGCUGCACUCGCCGGCACCGCGCGUCCAAUCCCAGAGGAAGGUCCAUGCGGACGAGCUGCUGUUCCAGGUUUGGAGCUGGAACUCACCGGAGUGCGUGAGCACAUGCCUGGUGUACGCGGCGCCGGCGGAGAGGCUGAAGGUCAUGUAGAUCUCCUCCUGGGUGUUGACGAUGGUGAGGUAGACGAUGACGCUGGUGAUCGCCCGGUACUUGACGGCGACGAAGUAGCCCGUCCAUGGUCCGCUGCGCCAGAUCGGACGCGUGGCGUUCCAGAGGAAGACCUGGAGGAACGUGUCUGGGUCCACGCCGAAGGAGAAGGAUCCCAGCGAUGGGUCGUCGGGGCCCUUCCACGAGACCAGGCGCUCGCCGGCGCGCGUCUCAUACCUGAUCCGAAUCUUCAUGCCAGGGAGGAACGUGUCGGCCGGGUGGUCGAAGCUCUGCCAUAAGGCGGUGCCGUCGGGAGACCGGAUGACGAGGUUGCCGGUGUUGAGAAGCACCGCGGCAGCGUUGCCGGCCGCCGGAGCUGCACCGGUGACGUCCGUCGUCCACAGAACACGGCCGUCGGAGUCGGACAGGACGAGGUUGUUGGAGGAGUUGGUCAGGGACAGCGCCGGUGGCGAAGAGAAGGUAGCGCCAGCGCUGCUAUUUGUGGCCGGGGUUUCUCUGUUGGCGACCCACACGACGGUGCGCCGGCGGAUGUCGUUGUACCAGAUGCCGAGGUACAGCUUGGCCGGGGUGGAGUUGGUGGGGGAGAAGAAGCCCAAGGCGAAGCUGCCGCCGUCGGAUACGAUGGUGGCGCCAGGGGAGAGCGGCUUGCCGGGGACGAGCCGGUCGUCGGCCGCACACGGUGGCGGCAGCAGCAGCAGCAGGAGGACAGUGGCGUACUUGAUGAUAGCUGGCCAAGCCAUCAAGCUAGCACCUAUCCUUUGCAAUUCUAGCUACUUAGCUGGUUGGUCGUCAUUGAUCAGCAUUCAGCAACGCAACUGGAUGUUUUUACUGGAGAAGGUAUUGCUGCCAUGAGCCUUGGUCUACGGUACACUGGCAAACGAUGUCAACGCAACUGCCUUGUGUUUUCUUAAAACUAACAAAAGAUAAUCACAGCAACGUCAUCUGUUACGCAGGAGAUGAGCGAGACUGAGAAGAGAUGGCAUAUUAUUAGAUGGUUGAAAUGAAGAAACCCCUCUACAGGCUCAGCAACGAAAGUACAGAACAUAAUAAACAGGGCACGGAGUAGAAUAAUAGUGCAAAAGCUUGGAAGUCCGAUGGACCUUUUCAAGGAUCAGAGUUUCAGACACGUAUUGUGGUUGACAUUUCAGCUGUCCACGUCGGCUCUUUGCGGUAGUUAGGAUGCUGUCCUUUCCUUUCUUCUUUUGAAGUGGUAAAUUUUGUUGUAUACUCAGUACAAAAAUUUCUAGUUUCCGUGCGGUUUCAUCCGCCGUUAGUUUCAGGCCGGCGUGAGAUUAAGCACGCACGAUCAUAGUCGCAUUUGGAAGCACGUACGGUUCCUCAUCAAGUGCCAUUGUGAAAUCCAAGAGUUGCUGCUCAUCAGUUAUUUCUUUCUUUCAUGAAUGGUACUCUCAAUGUUAAAUCGUCAAGUACUGUAUUUUAUUUAGUUGACGCAUGACAAGGUAAACAAAUAACCUUUCCGGGUUUUUUUCUUGGAAAAAAAGGGGUGGGAUCGUAUUUUAGGAAAGUUUAAGGGCUCCCCUUUUAAUGGUAAAUGGAGAGCCCUCCCCAUUUAGCUUUUAACUUUUAUUUAAUCAGAGUUCAUUUCUUUAAUUUUUUUCCGAGGUUGAGUUCUGCACUCACACUUGUGCCCGUGGUGGUUCUGAAAUGUUCAGCAUUGCUAGAAACAAGGACCAGUCUUCUCUGCAUGUGUCACGCAAGAUCAAAUCUUAACCAACACCAACCACCACACACACUGGAUCAGAAUUCUGAUUGGAACGAAGCUGGCAUGAUGCUGCAACCUGAUACGAAGUCAGUGUGGAAGCACGGUUCCUCGCGUGCCUUUAUCAUUCCAAUAAUAGCUCUCAGCUCGUGCUGCUCGAUGAAUUUCUUCAUACAUGAACUAUCCUUCUGAAAACUUUGUAGGCAACGAAAUCCAGGUUCACCCGUUAUAUAAAAAAAAAGAAUUGUCCUUCCAUUUUUCAUCACAAAGAGUAGAAAUGAAACACCAUCAGUCAACUCUAUUUGUUCAAAUUCAGUUCUUUCAUAUUCUUUUGUUUAUUAUGAUAGGAAAAACAUAAUAUCCUACAGCUGUUGAGAUUUCUAACAUAACCGAAAAUAAAAUUGGAAAUUAAGAGAAUGGCUUCCAAACCACAAACGGUGAUGGAGCCUUAAGCAAUGUCUAUCUUGGGCAGUGUUUCCAUACAUCAUAAAAAGGUUAUCGUCCCUCUAUAUUUGUGAGAGUAAGGGAAUUCAUGGAAUUUUCAGUUCUGUCCCUAAUUUGCUCCAGAUCACUGCUCCUCUGUCCAUAGUGCCCAGGGUUGUUGGGUGCUGGCAGUGUGGUGCUUCCAUUCUCUAGAGUGAACACAACAGAUGACAUAAGUGGUCUAUCAUCUGGGUUUUCUUGAACGCACAAGAGUCCCACAUGACUGCAAAGCGAAACUUCAUCUAGCAAACAAGCAUCCGUAAUGGAUGGGUCUGCUAAAUCUCUUGUCUUCCCCUCCUUCCACAUGUUCCAAGCCUGAAACAAUCAAAACAAUUAUUUGGAUUUAUGGUAAGCGAGAACCUGAAGACUGAUUUUAAUCAGUUACCGCUUGAUAAAAGGCAUAUACUCACAUAGACUAUUAGGUUCGGAGAACCCAUAAUGCUACUAACAGAACUUCUCCUUAUACCAGUAACAAUCUCUAAGAGUAGAACACCAAAGCUAUAGACAUCGGACUUGAUGGAGAAGACGCCUUCCAUUGCAUACUCCGGAGCCAUGUAGCCACUGUUUGAUCAUUUCACAUGCACAUACUAUUGAAUGAAAGCUGAAUUUAGUUACUUUUUGUUUGGAAAAAUAUAAAUUGUUACUUACUAUGUCCCAACAAUACGAUGCGUGUUUGCAUCUUUCUGGCUAUCAUUGAAUAUCCUUGCCAUGCCAAAGUCUGCUAUCUUUGGUCUCAUCUCUGCAUCUAGCAAAACAUUAGCAGCUUUGAGAUCUCUAUGAAUUAUGGUCAAUCUUGAAUCUUGGUGGAGAUAGAGAAGUCCUCUUGCAACCCCUUUGAUUAUAUUGAAUCGUGUAGGCCAAUCCAAUAAUAUCUUCCUCGAAUUAUCUGCAUGAAGAGAUUCUGUAUAACACAAUUUUUAGCUUUUAUGUGCUAUUUAUAAAAACUUAUGGCGUAUCACAUACCAAAAAGGGUAGCAUCUAAGCUUCCAUUAGCCAAGUAUUCAUAAAUAAGGAUUUUCUCAUCAGCCUCAACACUGCAACCAAGAAGUCGAACCAAAUUUCUAUGUUGCAAUUUAGCAAUUAGAAUUACUUCAUUCCUGAAUUCUUUUGUUCCUUGCUCAGAAUCCUUGCUUAACCUUUUGAUGGCAACUUCUUUACCACCUAGCAUCGCCUUCAGAAAAAGUAUAAGGGUGAAAGUUAGAUUUGAGGCUUGGAGCUCAUUAUUACAAUUAACAAAAAUCAAUAUAAUUAGAUGACCAGAACUAAUAAGAGGAAAUCACCGCAGAAUUAAGUAAUUACCUUAUAAACUUUACCAAAACCCCCCUGCACAAUCUUACAUGCCUCUGAGAAAUUGCGUGUUGCAGCCACGAUAUCCUCAAAUCUAACAGAGAAGAAUUCAAAGUCUUGGGCAUGGUUUCCAUCCCCAAGUUCAUCCGAUGUACUCAUUUCAUCCAAAAUUAGCUUCUUAUGCUUUGCCCCGUAUCUUAUUCUACCUGUUUCCAUAAUUCUAUAACCAAAUGCUUGAAAUAUAGAUUUGUAAGAAACUAAGAAUGGAAAUAUGUUGAGCUCUACCUUUGAACUUGAACCAUGCAAGGGAAAGGGCUGCGAGGAUCAGAAGACCACUUGUCAAAACAGCAGGGAGCACAGUCUUCAGUGCUUUGCUCUUCGCCCUCAUCAUACCUGUGGUAGCUUUACAAGUCAAAAAAAAAGAAAAAAAAAGAAAAGAAGACCUAUUUGAAGUCCCCACAAAUUCCACAUGGAACAUUUGAAUUUCUGUUUUAAACGAGAAAGGGAUCCCAGCUUUCCAAAUGUGGGUUUCAAAGUUUCCUGAAUAGAAUCAUAGAUAGAUGAGAAGAAAGAAAAGGUCGAUCUGUUGCACGUAUACCUGCAUCCAAGCCUGCAAUCCGGAGGUACAGCGUUUCGCUGCCAGCAUUGACACCUAUUUUCUCCGUGUCAAUCAGCUCUCCUGUCCACACCAAGCACCUCGUCACAUCCCCCUUGAUUCUGCUAGUGCUCAGAUCAGCAUAAGCAUACGCCACACACGAACAGUUUCUGGUGCACUCGGCUGCGCACUCCUGGAAUGUUCGGUUCUCGACGAGCACGAACUUAUCCGGCGAUUUCAUCCCCGGCAAGGCCAAAAAACCGUCGCUGCACUGCAGCGCCUCCUUUCGCCGGCACCCUGGAGAGAACCUGCCGCUACUCCACCCCUCUGGAUUGGCAGGCGCGAAACCGUCGAGGCACUUGCACGUCGAUGGAUUCCCAUCCCAUCUGUUGUCGCAGUAGCCGUUCGGGCCACAGUAGCCGUAGCGGCUGCAGUAGCCGCCCGUCCAUUCGGAGAGGACGGCCCAUGCGGAUGAGGCGCUGUUCCAGGUUUGGAGCUGGUACUCGCCGGAGUCUGUGAGCACGUAUCUGGUAUGCGCGGCGCCGGGUGAGAGGCUGAAGGUUAUGUAGAUCUCCUUCUUGGUGUUGACAACGUUGAGGUUGACGAUGACGCUGAUGACCAUCUGGAACUGGACCUGGACGGAAAAGGAGUCGCCCGUCCAUGGCCCACUGCGCCAGAUCGGACGCGUUGCGUUCCAGACGAAGAUCUGAAGGAACGUUUCUGGGUCCCCGCCGAAGGAGAAGCUCCCCGGGGAUGGGUCGUCGGGGCCCUUCCACGAGACCAGGCGCUUGCCGGCGCGCGUCUCGUACCUGAUUCGGAUCCUCAUGCCGGGGAGGAACGUGUCGGCCGGGUGGUCGAAGCUCUGCCACAAGUUGGUGCCGUCCGGUGACCAGAUGACAAGGUUUCCAGUGUCCAUAAGCACAGCGGUAGCGUUCCCCGCAGCUGCACCGGUGACGUCGGUCGUCCACAGAACAUGGCCGUCAGCGUCUGACAGGACGAGGUUGGACGCGUUGGUCAGGGACAGCGCUGGUGGAGAGGACGUGGUGUUCGUGACGGGGAUUUCUCUGUUGGCGACCCACACGACGGUGAGCCGGGGGAUGUCGUUGUACCAGAUGCCGAGGUACAGCUUGGCCGGGGUGGAGUUGGUGGGGGAGAAGAAGCCCAAGGCGAAGCUGCCGCCGUCGGAUACGAUGGUGGCGCCAGGGGAGAGCGGCUUUCCGGGGACGAGCCGGUCUUCGGUUGCACACGGUGGCGGCGGCAGCAGCAGGAGGACGAGGACAGUGGCGUACCUGAUGAUAGCUGGCCAAGCCAUCAUGCUACUAUGCUAGCACCUUUCCUUGCAAUACUUAGCUAGCUUGUUGGUCUGUUGGUCAUGGAUCAGCAACGAAACUGGAGGUUUCACUUGAAAUGAAGGUAUUGCUGUCUUGAGCCUUGGUCUACUGGCAAACGAUGUCAACGGCUAAACCAACAAAAAAAAAUAAUGACGGCAGCAGCAUCUGUUACGCAGGAGAUGAGCGAGACAGAUAAGAGUAGAAUAUUAAUUAGAUGGUUUUAAUGAAAGGGUGCAUUCCAGGAACCUCCCUACAGCCUCAGCAACGGAAGUACAGAACGUACACACCACAAGGUAUAAUAAUGCAAAAGCUUGGAAGCCCGGUGGACUUUUUCAAGGAUUCACACACGUAUUAUGGUUGACAUUUCAGCUGUCCACGUAGGAUUUAGGAAUUAGGAUGAUAUUGCCGUUCCUGCUAGCUAGACAUACUAGCGACAGGAAGUGUAAGAAAUGUAUUGUGCCAGUUUGUUGCUGUCCUUUUCUUUCUUCUUUUGAAAGGGUACAUGUUGUUAUACCUCGGUACACAAGUUCUAGUUUCCAUGUGGUUAGUUUCAGGCUGACUUGAGAUUAAGCACGCAUGAUAAUAGUCACAUGUGGAAACACAGUUCCUCAAGUGCCAUUGUGAAAUCCAAGAGUUGCUGCUCACCCGUCAUUUCUUUCUUUCAUGAAUGGUACUCUCGUUGCGAAAUCGCCAAGUAAUGUAUUGUAUUUGGUUGAUGCAUAUGACAAGGUAAAUAAAUCAACUUUUCCCUUUUUAUUUUUGAAAAAAAAGUGGUGGGGUCCUAUUUUAGGAAAAGUUAAGGGCUCUCCUUUUAAUAGUAAAUGGAGAGCUCUCCCCAUUUAGCUUUUAACUUGAUUUUUUUCUUUAUUAUAGUAUGAACCAAAUAGUAUCAUUAUGGCUCAUUGUGACUGCCCACAAAGAAAAAAUGAAACAGAAAAAUUCUUAAGGAAAUGAGCACGCAAUGAUGAUAUUAUUUGGAAGAAGAAUUAGUAAGGAAAUGACUUCAGCACUGACAAAUUUUGGGUAGAGCCUUAAGAAGAAGAAAAAUAUAAGGGAAACGCUACCGUCCGAGCGUCCGGACGCGUCGGAUGUCGUUCCGCUCCCCUCCGCUUCCUAUCCAUUCCCACAGUUCUUUUUCUUCCCCAUCCCUUUUCUUCUUCAACCUUCCACCUCGGUGUCCUCCUCCUCCACUCCGGUGGCCUUGUCUCCCACCUGCGCCCCACGCCGGCGUCCUCCUUGCCCACCUUGACGGCGUCACGCUCCCCCACCCGGCGGCCUCAUCCCUCACCCGCGCCCCACGCCGGCGUCCUCCUCCCCACCUCCACGGCGUCACGCUCUUCCACCCCGGCAGCCUCGUCCCCCACCCAGGCGGCGCCCCUCCCCCCACUCCGGCGUCCUCAACCCACCGGGAGUAUCCAACGCCCUAGAUCCAGUGGCCCUCUCCCCGACCCCGGCGAGAUCCGAGCAAGCCCUUGACCCUCCACUACCCCGGCCGGCAGCAGCCUCCUUAGAUCCGGCGGCAUCUCCUCUUCUUCGGCCGACAACGGGCAGGCUGGUUGUCUUGGAUCUGAGUGUUGCAAUAGUUAUUUUUGGAUGUUGCAACGGUGGCUUUUGAUGUUUCAUCUGUUUUGCAACAGUCUGACUUGCCAGCAAUCGGGUGUUGCACCAACUUGUUCAUGAUGUUGCAUAUAGUUGUUUUCUUUGUUUUGUCUCUUCUUCUUUCGUUGUUGCAAUAUUGUAAGAGAUGUUUUUUUUGUUGUUGCAAUGUGUCUGUUUUGAAUGUUGCACGAAGCAAUUCGGGAUGUUUCAUGCACGUAAAGGUGUUGCAAUCCUCGGUGUUGCAAGUGUUGAUUUUUAAUGUUUCGAUAGUUAUUUUUCAAUGUUGCAACUAAGCGUCCGAUAAAACAAAAUUAUCGGACGUCCGGGCGCUAGCACUUCCUAAAAUAUAAUGAUGAUAAAACAGGAAAAAUAGCAAGGAAAUGAGCACGCAGGUGAUUAUCAUCCCAGAAAUCAUCGCCCCUCAAUUUGUGUUGGUAGUUUCGGACUUCCAUUCUCCAAGGUAAGAGUAUUUCAUACAAUCUUUUUUAUUCAUAUUUUGUACAAUCUUGAUAAAACUAGAGUACUUGGAAAAAAAAUAAGAGCCGUCUAUCCCGCGAAAUCGAACGGUGGAAAUAAAGGAAGUACCAUGAAGUACCUAAAGGAAAGUACCAAAAAUAUGAUGCCUUUUAAUUGUGUGUAAAUCUAUUUAAUUCUUUUUUAUAAAAAGGAUAAGAAAGGAAAGUACCUGCAAGUACCACUGUACCACUGGUACUUUAAAAGCAUUGUAACAAAGCUAAAAACUCAAAGGAUUUUUUAAAAAAAAAUACCGUGGUUCUAUAUUUGUAAGAGUAAGAGUGUUCAACAAAUUGUAAAUGUUAUCUCUUAUUUGAUCCAUCUCAGUGCUCCUUUGUGCAAAAUAUGCAGGCUGAUUUGGCCUCGGAAGUGUGACGCAUCUAUUCUUCAGCGAGAACACAACAGAUGACAUAUGUGGCCUAUCAUCUGGGUUUUCUUGAACACACAGGAGUGCUACUUGCAAAGCAAAAUUUUAUUUGGCAAACAAGUAUCCAUAAUAGAUGAAUCUGCCAAACAUCCUGUCUUCCCCUCCUUCCACAUAUUCCAUGCCUGAAAAUUAAAAACAAAACAAUCAUUUAUUAAAAACAAAACAAUCAUUUCGAUUGUGAUAGCUCCAAAAAGAUUCAAAUCCUCUGACUUUGAUCUUGAGUUAGAACUUCACAAAAGGCAUAUACUCACGUAGAUUAUAAGAUUCGGAAAUCCUAUUAUGUCAUCCAUGGAGCUUCUUCUUCUACCAGUUACAAUCUCCACGAGUAGUACACCAAAGCUAUAGACAUCAGACUUUAUUGAGAAGAUGCCUUCCAUUGCAUAUUCAGGAGCCAUGUAGCCACUAUUCCACCAUUUCACUUGUAUUAAUUAUUACAUGGAGAUGCAGUCAAUUGCUAAUUUAAGCAUUUAUUUAUUUAAAAUAAGCACUCACUAUGUCCCUACAACACGAUGUGUAUUUGCCUUUGUCUGGUUGUCAUUGAAGAGCCUUGCCAUGCCAAAGUCAGCUAUCUUCGGUCUCAUCUCUCCAUCUAGCAAAACAUUAGCAGCUUUGAGAUCUCUAUGAAUUAUGGUCAAUCUUGAAUCUUGUGGAGAUAGAGAAGUCCUCUUGCGAUUCCUUUGAUUAUACUAACUCGUGUCGGCCAAUCUAGCAACAUUUUUCUUGAAUUAUCUGCGUGAAGGUUCGAAUGAAAGCAAUAUGUUUAUGAGAUGUCAUUUUGAUAUUUUAAAGAGCUUAUAUUAAGGUGUUACUUGAACAUACCAAAAAGGUACCAUCUAAGCUUUUAUUAGGCAAAUACUCAUAAAUCAACAUCUUUUCUUCACCCUUGACACUGCAACUAAGAAGUCGAACCAAAUUUCUAUGUUGCAAUCUGGCAAUUAGAACAACUUCAUUCCUGAAUUCCUUGGUUCCUUAUGAAGAAUCCUUACUCAGCCUUUUGAUAGCAACUUUCUUACCACUUAACACGGCCUUCAGAAAUGUUAAAGAGAAAAGAUUGACAUACAUGCAACUCAAAAUAAUUACUGAACUGAAUCAAGCAGAAGCCUGCAUUGAGAGAAGAAAUCACCUUAUAAACUUUGCCAAAACCUCCUUGUCCAAUGUUGCAGCCACAAUAUCCUCAAAUCUAACAAAAGGGAAUCCAAAAUCUUGGGCAGUGUUCCCUUCCCCAAGUCCUUCAGAUGUACCAGUAUCACCCAGAAUUAACCCAAGCUUCUUGUGAUCUUCCCUGUUUCUUCUUCUAGCUGCCCCAAAAAUGUUUAUCAUCCAUUCUGUUGCACCAUGUACCUCAUAUAGACGUAUAAUAAAAGCAGAGUUUGUACCUUGGAACUUGAAGCAUGCAAAGAUAAUCCCCGCAAGUAUCACAAUGCUACUUACUAAAACUGCAGACAGCAAAAUCUUCAUUAACUUGGUCUUUGCCUUCCUUCUGUUACCUGUGCAAGGUCGUCAGUGCAAUGAUUUAUGCUCGCAAGCCUGAAUGUUUAUACCCAACAAUUCGAAGUUUACUCGAUAGAAAGGCACAGGAGAUAAAGUCGUCUGCACACCAGGAUCAUCCAAGCCUGCAGACCGGAGGUAGAGCGUUUCACCGCCAGCCAUAUCACCCAUCUUCUCCGUGUCAAUCAGCUCGCCGGCCCAAAUCAAGCACCUCGUCAUGCCGCCCUUCGUCCCGCUGCUGCUCAGAUCAGCAUAAGCGUACGCCACACACGAACAGUUCUUGGCGCACUCCGCCGCGCACUCCUCAGAAGUCCGGUUCCGGACGAGCACGAACUUGUCCGGCGAUUUCAUCCCCGGCAAGGCCAAGAAGCCGUCGCCGUCGCCGCACCGCAGCGCCUCCUUCCGCCGGUACCCUCGCGAGAACCUGCCGCCGCUCCAUUCCUCGGGGUUGGUAGGCUCGAAGCCGUCGAGGCACCUGCACGUCGGAGCGGCCAUGGUGCUGUCGCAGUAGCCGUACGGCCCGCAUUGGCCGUAGUGGUUGCACUCCCAUGUCGGCCAUUGCCCGAGAACCGGCCACGCCGACGAGCUGCUGUUCCAGCUCUGGAGCUGGUACUCGCCGGCGUAGGUCAGCACGUACCUGGUGUGGGUGGCGCCGUCGGAGAGGCUGUAGGAUAUGUAGGUGUCCUCCUCGGUGUUGACGAUGGCCACGUAGAUGUAAGCGCUGGAGUUGACCUGGUACUCGCCGUCGACCGUGAAGCCCGUCCAGGGGGCGCUGCGAAGCAUCGGGCGCGUCCCGUUCCAGACGAACAACUGGAGGGACGUGUUCGGGUCCGCGCCGUAGGUGAAGCUCCCCGGCGAGGGGUCGUCGGGGCCCUUCCACGACACCACCAUGCGCUCGGCAUGGCGUUCCCUGUGAUUACUGGACUUGAUCCAGAUCUUCAUCCCGGGGAGGAACGUGUCGGUCGGGUGAUCGAAGCUCUGCCACAGGGUGGUACCGUUCGGAGUCCGGACGACGAGGUUGCCGGUGUCCAAAAGCACCGCGGCGACGCCGGUGGCCGGUGGCGAUGGAGAGACACUUCCGGUGAUGUUUGUCGUCCAAAGGACCCGGCCGCUGGCGUCGGACAGGACGAGGUUGGAGGUGUUGGUCAGGGACAGCGAUGGCGGAGAGGAGCUGCUGUUUGUGAUUGGGGUCUCUCUGUUGGCGACCCACACGACGGUGAGCCGGGGGACGUCAUUGUACCAUAUGCCGAGGUGCAGCUUGGCUGGAGUGGAGUUUGUCAGGGAGAAGAAGCCCAAGGCAAUGCUGCCGCCGUCGGACACGAUGGUGGCACUAGGGAACAGCGGUUUGCCGGGGACGAGGCGGUCGUCGGAUGCACACGGCUGCACCAACAGGAGGAGGAGGAGGAGAACAGUAGCGGCAUACCUGAUAGCCGACCAAGCCAUCAAGCACUUCUCGUUUCAAAACGGCGAGGCGAUUUUGAAAGGGAUGUGCUAAUAUUAGCUCGCGAGACUGAAGAUUCUAACUUCAGCAAGGAUGGCAGGUGUUUUCUUCUUCUUUAGCCUGACGAGACCAAUCGGGAAGAAAAGAAGGGUGAGUGGCAUUCCUGCAUCCGGGAAGUCGGAAAGAAAAGCGAAGGUUGUUUUUCUUCUUCUGCAUCGAUUACGAAAGCAGUAGGUAAAAUAAUGCAGAAAUUUGGAAGUUCAGACCACAUUUAGUUUACCAAUUCAACCUCGUCUUGUGUUUGACAUUUGAGCAGUCCACGCGGACCGUGCAGUGGUUUGUAUGAUGAGAUUAUCCUUUGCCAAUGCUACUAUUGACAGAAAAGCCAAGGAACACGUAUACUACAGAACAACAUAUGAUGCGUAAAGAAACUAGAAAUGAUUGAUUAUUUUAACUUUUGAUGACUGACUGAAGUGGUUGCUACUCCGCAUGAUCAAUUCCAGUCAGUUUCCUUCGCGUUUUUCAUUUUUCACCGUUAGUAUUUUUUUCAUAAUGAAAUCUAAUAAUGUCAAUCUUAUCUUGUCAACCUAUAUACAAUUUUGUUACAGGAAUUGGAGAGCAGUGAAAAAUGGAACAGCAAAAACAAUUUACCUUUUUCUUCUCUUUUCUACUUUACUAAUAGUAUGCACAGAGUAUACAUGUUUAUUAAUUCGGGGAGGGAAUAGAGGUGCUUCCAUUCUCCAAGAUGAACACAGCAGAUGACAUGAGUGGCUUGUCGUUGGGUUGUGUUGUGUUGGGGAUCGUCAAAAAACUAAACAUCCUCGAGCGCCGUUCAUAGGUAAAAACUCUCUAACCUCGCAAGUUCUGGAUCGAGGAACAAAACUCAGUUAACCUUGCAACUUCUUAUGAAAACUAUUCUGGUAGUAAAACUCGUACCCUCGCAUAUUCUUUGCUACUUUAGGGACUCGAAGCUGACAACUGUUAGUUGAUGACUAAACUCCAAUUGUGCUAAUCCUCGAGUGUUCGAAGUCAAUCUUGAACACCAAGUUUUCACCUUUUUACUCUUUCCUCAUAAACGGAACCUGAAGGGAGACGUCGUGAGGUUACAAGCUCUUGGAGCAGCAUAACGAACCAGGCGCCACGAGGUUGGGCAUUUAUCUCGGACCGAGGGUGAUGACAUGAAGCUAGAGAAUUGGUCUGGCACGAAGGCGAAGUCCCGAGGUUAGAGGGAUGGAGGCAUGAGAAACGUGACUACGUGGAGGAAUUCAAUUUGUACACGUUACCCCAAUGACUUUUAUGUAUGGCAUAUUCUAAGAAUGUAGUGGUUGAUGAAGGAUAUUUUUUGGAUGUAAAGUGGCUCAUGGGUCACUAUAAAAGGGAAACCCUACCCUGUUGUAAAGGGAGACCCAUUGUUUUCUCGAACUUUCAAGUAUUAUCUCGUUCACAAAUAUGUUCGAUAUCAAAUUUCUUUGAGAGCAAUAGGGCGCCCAUCGUGUUCUCAGUCACAAAACAACCCACGAUGCCAUAACCAAAGAAGAAGAUCACACCGCAGGAAACCAUCGAGGGUGAAAGAGAGCAAGAGAGAGAACUUAUCCCUAUUGAUCAAGACGACAUAGACACCCUAGAGAGAUUAAAGAGAGUUGCGGCUAAUUUACGAACAAGAAGUGAGAAGAAAAGAGUCAAGGUGGAGACAACAAACCAAACACAACCAGAAACAAGCACAAGAAAUGAUUUACUUGGAGCAACAGAAAAAAAA
rnacentral:lncRNA from 1 species